UUUUUUUUUUUUUUUUUGGUUCCCUCUAUUGCUAACAGACAAAAGACUAUAUAUUAAACUAUGAAAAAAUCCUUCAGGAUUAAUGGAACUACACAUCCACCAAGAAGAGGACCGGAAGUCCCAAGGGAAACAAAACACUCAAAACUCUACACAGAGCAAAAAUAGCCCAAAACCCAAAAAUAACACAGCUCACUAAGAAUGCAAUCCCUUUCAGGAUACAGCGGCUUCCCUAUUAAGCAAAAUUAAAAGGAAAGAGAUAUCUUUGAAUUCAGAAGUAAUUGGAGCUUUCAGUCUUGCUUGAAGGGGAAGUUACUUUAUGUUCUGUCUUCUUUAUUUUCGAAAAGUUAUGUUCUGCCUUCAAGUAAGGGAAAGAUACAAGAAAAGAACAUGCAUAAACAAAGUUAACAUUAACAAACUCAAAAUCCUAGAAUCAAAACAUACUAUAUUAUGCAUCACAAGCUGCCAAUGAAUAUGGACUCGGAUUCCCACUAUUUUCAUAAUGCCUAAAGCAAUAAAUAAGAACCAGAUUGAGAAUUUCCGUAGUCAACUGCUUAGAGUCAACUUCUAAGCAAGAAUUCAUACAGGUCGGCUUGAUGAUUAAAAUUCCACAUUAUUCACAUCAAAAAGAUAAACUAUAGUUCACUCAGGCAUUUCUACAAACAUGUAGCAAUCAUACACCAUACUUAAAACACACACCAAACACCGGCAUCAGUGUCCGCCCACGUGGAAUGUAAAAUAGCUAGGAAAGAAUAAGGGUACUAAAGCAACCUGCAAUAAGAGAUUCAAUGGAAGCAGCACGUUGAGAACUGUCUGGUGACGAUGGUGAUGACUGCUCCCCUUCUGUCUGAUCAAUUGCCUCGCUUUGAACUUGACCCAUGUUACCCUUGUUGAUGGUAAUUGGAAAUAAUGCUACUGGGUAAUUGGCAGUGAGCAGCCGAGGCUUUUUUUUUUUUUUAAAUGUAAAAAUACAAAUAUAUUUUUUAAGUCAUACGGAAAAAAGUUUAUAAAAAUAGUAAAAGGAAAUAAUGAUGACUUUUCAAAAGCAAAAGUUCUCGCUGACGCUUUAAAAAGUAUUUUUUUAAAACUUAAAAAAAAAUAACAAAACAACAAAAUAAAAGCAACUACUUGAGAGAGAAACCAGCCAAAGUAACCAACGAAUAAUAGAAACAGGGGAAGCUCAUUGAUCUCGAUAGAAAAUCAAUCAGAAAAUGGAAGCGUUAUAGCUUAACUAUAUGCAUAAAACGAAGAGAAAAUCUUGAAUCAAUAUCAUUUAAACAAAGCAAAUUUCAAAAUGGAAGCUGUUGUAAAGAAAGGACUGCUGGAGAAUUUCAUGCAAACUCAUCAAAACUCAAUCAGGUCUCUGUUUCAGCGCAAGAAGAAAUCUUCAACCAAUGAAGAAGACUCCCUAGUCGAUUCUCCCGGGCCCAUUCCUCAGCUCUCUGUUAUCGCCAACUCUGUUGUCGCCCGUUGUUCCAAGUACCCUCUUCACUCUUCUUCAUAAUUAGUAAUGUUUGAUUUUUCAUCAAAGUUGAUUCAUUUGGAAGAGAAUGCCGCCUUGUGAAAUGGGUCUUUUUUUUCGUGUAAUUCCUUUUUUGUUUGGGUGGGAUCAUCAAGAUCUUCCCUUUUGAUGUAUUUGCGUAAAGUUUCUUUUUUUUUCCCCCCUCACUUGGUGGAUGUUAGAAAUGAGUGGGGUUAGAAUUCAAUUAGUGUUUUAGCUAAUUUUAUGUUACAAUGCAUAUAUACAUGGAUAGAAAGAUUCAUUUUUUAUUUGAUGGAUUUUCGAAACUGAUAGAAUCAGAAUUUUUUUCUUUUUUCCUUUUUUUUUUUGGGAAUAGAUGUGUAUUUAUAAGCUUCUCAUAAGUAAGCCUUCUUCAGUAUAGAAAGUUGUCUUGCAAUGACAUUAAAUGCUUGGAAUUUCGGCUCAAUCUGGAUUUAGCCUUUUAAUUGCGUUGUGGUAUGCAAUGUUGUAUCAUAGCAGAUUUAUUAGGUUUUGCAUACAUUGUUACUGUUGCUUGAUGCAUAAUAAAUUGAUGCCAUACGCAUACUGCAAAUUUGAGUUGUAUUUUUACUGAAACUGCUUGGAUGUGUGCUUGAUUUUGCGAUGGUGCCUCUAUUUGAUUGGAUGUGAAAAUGAUUGAUGAGAAACGAAUGUGAAAUGCACUAUGAAAUUGUGUUUAGUAUACUUUUAAACAACUUUGAGAUACUCAGAACAAUUAUAUCCUUUCCUAUGAUGCUACGAUGCUCAACAACUAAGCUGAAAAGUGUUAUUUCUUGUCAUUGUAAUGCCUCUAACACAUUUCUGAAUGUUGCAGGAUCCUUAAAGUCUCUACUGCAGAAUUACAGCACCGCUUUGACAUUGAGCUGCCUGAGACUGUUAAGCAACUUUUGACGUAUACAAGAAAUUUUGUAGAGUUCUGCUCAUACCAAGCACUCAACAUGGUUUCUAGAAAUCCAGAUUAUCUGAGUGAUCCGGAGUUCCGCCGUCUGAUGUAUGACAUGAUGCUUGCAUGGGAGGCCCCAUGUGUUGAAACUGAACCAGAAAACAAAGUGAGACAGCCCAUCGUUGUUAGCUGUAUUUGUAAGACAUAGGAUUAAUCGUACAGACCAAAUUUUUUAAGUUUAGAAACCUUGGUUUCUUCUGCAUUUUUAGGCUUGACAUUGUUGCAUUAUCUUCUGUUCAACUGUAGGAAUCUCCUUCUUAUAUAAAUGAGGAGUUAGAGGAUGAGGAUGGGUCAUCAUUAUUUCAUUUUAGUUCCACAAAUUUGGCCGUUCAGGUUCUUUAGUUGCCAUCUUAUAACCUUCUUUAUUUGCAUACUUGUUACAAUAACAAGUUACCAAUGCUGGGCAGGUGUUAAGAUUGCAAUCUUAGGUCUAUGGCCAUAAAUGAUCAGAUUAAUUGUGUAUUUCCAUCAGGUUGACGACAAGAAAACCAUUGGGCCUGAGGCUUUUGCACGAAUAGCUCCUGCUUGUCCUGUUGUUGCAGAUGUGAUAAUUGUUCACAAUCUUUUUGAUGCACUUACAAGCUCUUCCAGCCAUCGGCUCCAUUUUCUCAUAUUUGACAAAUAUCUUCGUAGCCUUGACAAGUAUGAAAUGUUCAUUGAUCUUUGUUGAUUCUUUAAGCUCCAGUUCUUUUGUAUUGUUGAAAAUAACAUGUCAAUUCAUGUAAAUUUAAUGGGCAGUACAUAUUCAGAUUCUUUAAAUACACUGAUAUAUUAUUUCAUGAUGCUUCUUCCCACAUAUUAUGGAAGUUCAUUAGAAAUUCUUUUUCCUCUUGCCAUUUCGUUAAUUUACCAUCUAUAUUUUAAGCAGUUCUCUCCUAAUUUUCCCCCCUUUUUAAUGCAAUUUGGGCUUUCUUUUAGAUUGAAAUUAAUAGAACAAUAAAUUUCACAAAUUCGAGUUCAUUUUAUGAGUGGUGUAUUCCACAAACUUCUACAUAUCAUUUUAAAUCACUAAUACAGAUGAAUGCCUCUUUUGUUCGAACAAGAAGCAGCUGUUUUAGUUGUUUUAAAUUUUCUUUUUGUCAUUAGUGAAGUAAUUAUCUCGUUAUGAAAUGAAAGGUUCGAUAAAAUCUGCCCCAUUGUGCUCUGGAGGACUUAGUUACUGAUUAUUGAGAGUAAGAAACAGCUAAACAGGCUGCAUUUUAUUCUUUAUACUUUUCGAAUUUCAGCUUUUUGAGGGAUGAUGUGGCCAUAUGUGUAUGGUUUUUCUCCUAUUUUGCUUAAGUGAGGGGUGAGGUUUUUAUAUUCCCAUUUUGUUUAAGUUUUAGUUGGCAGUGAUUAAAUUGUGGAGCUGGUGAAUGAAAAUAUAUUCUUUGAGAAAUAUGUAUAAGAGGUGGGAAAAGAUUUUAAAAUCCAAGACAAACUCGUGGAAGUUUAUUGUUCAUAAUUUGAAGUGUUAAUUAAGAGGGUUUAUGAACUACAUAACUGUAUUAUGUGUAGACCAAGAGGGUAAGGAUGUACCCGUAUGUGAUUUUGUUGACUUAUUUCUUGUGUUUGUUGAUUGUUUUGAUUGUAUUUUUUAUGAAUAGUGAUUACUAUCUGAAUUUCUCUCUCUUUUUUCCCAUCUGCAGGGUUGUCAAGGUUGCAAAAAAUGCACUGGGCCUUUCAAUUUCCAAUCUUCAGCUUGAUGAGGGUGAAAUCACCCUUGAUGUUGAUGGUGCAGUUCCCACUCAACCAGUUCUGCAACAUGUUGGCAUGUCGGCUUGGCCGGGUGGGUCAUUGUUUCGUGAAUAUCGGUCAAAAGAUCUAGAGGUUUAAUCAGUCCUGCUGCCCAUGUGGGUUUAUAACUAAUGGACCCUUAUCAUAGGACGUGGCAGAUUUUUGCUCAAAUUUAUUUCUUUCAGCUGCAUGCCACUAAAAAUGUUAUGUAUUUGUGUGCCCAAAUUCGAAUGUCGUAAUUUCACCUUCUCUGAUUGAUAAUGUGUUAGUGAUGGCAAUGAUGUGAUUCACAUUUUUUCAGGAAUACUAUAUAUGGAGUCUGUACAACCUAGUUACUGAAAUGUCUUGAGUCCUCAACUCAAUUAGAAGAAUCUAAUAAUUAUUUCAAUCAAGGAAUUGUUUUCCCCUCUCAGGACAUUAUUUAUAUUCAUUGAAGUUCUGUUUGUGUAGGACGCCUGACUUUGACUAAUUAUGCUCUGUACUUUGGAUCAUUGGGAAUGGGUUCAUAUGACAAAGCUGUUAGGUAUGAUCUGGCAACUGACCUGAAGCAGGUUAUAAAACCAGAAUUGACUGGUCCAUUGGGUGCUCGUCUCUUUGAUAAAGCAGUGAUGUACAACUCAUCAUCUGUGUAUGUUAUCUGACAACAUACAUCAUACAUUGUUUGUCUAAUUGUUUAACUUACAUAUUUAUUAUGUUUCUCAUCUUCCUUUUUGUUGUUUGAUUCUUUUAUGUAUGUACAGAGAAGAGCCCGUUUAUUUCGAGUUUCCUGAAUUUAAAGGCAAUUCUCGUCGUGACUAUUGGUUGGAUAUAUGUCUUGAGAUCCUCCGUGCACACAGGUUUAUUAGAAAAAACAACUUCAACAAGAUUCAACAAUCGGAAGUACUAGCAAGGGCUGUACUUGGCAUUUUCAGAUAUCGUGCAAUUAGAGAAGCUUUUCACACCUGCUCAUCCCAAUACAAAACAUUACUUGCUUUUAAUCUAGCUGAAAGCCUACCAAAGGGAGAUAUAAUAUUGGAAACUCUCUCAAGUCGAUUGGCGCUUUUGAGUGUUGGUGGGGCCCAACAUGAUAUGACUGAGAGUCUGCAUACCAAACAGAAAUUGAAACUGUCCCCAGUUGCUAUCCUGACACUUGGUCAACUUGGAUUCAAUUCACAAAAAGAGUCAAAUCUAGGGGCAGGAGUGGAAGUAGUUGGCGAUAUUUGUGUUGGGGAGACAAAUCUUUUAGAGAUAGCUGUGAAAAAGUCAAUAUCAGACACGGGAAGGGUCGAAGCUGCACAGGCCACUGUGAAUCAAGUGAAAGUGGAAGGAAUUGAUACAAACCUUGCAGUAAUGAAGGUUGAUUUUAGAUAGUCCUGAACUCUUUUUUUUUUUUUUUUUGGGGGGGGGGGCCAAANNNNNNNNNNNNNNNNNNNNNNNNNNNNNNNNNNNNNNNNNNNNNNNNNNNNNNNNNNNNNNNNNNNNNNNNNNNNNNNNNNNUUUUUUUUUUUUUUUUUUGGGGGGGGGAGCCAAAAUAACGGAUAUAGAGGUAUAUUUUUAUCACUCUGCAACGGAUGCCACAAAACUUGGCUUUAAUUUUCUUCCCAUAGUUGAAUAGUAAUCAUUUCUAACUUUUAUUUAGGCAGAAGGCUGGAUUGAUCAAUCAGGUUUUUGAACUAAACUAGCCUUGUUCUGAUCUCUUUUAGUGAAGUAGUGAAAUGUUUUUUUCUCAGUGCAUAGGUUGAGUAGAUGAUGUUGAUUGAACUCAACUACCAGUAGUGAGAUGUUGGUGCUAAGAGUUGGAUUUUGAACAGUAGUAUUCUGAGAGCUAUUGAAGGGGCACUUUUUUGCAGGAGUAUUGAAACACAUGUGCACCAUUAAUAGAAGUCAAUCAUAGGCUUCCCUCUGAUCGAUAGAACCAGUUUAUUGCAAGUUUCACCUGAUUUUAAUUAUUAGUUUCUGAAAUUCACUGUUUAUAGAGCUUAUUGAAUGAAAUUUUUGAGUUCAUAUUUCAGAAAAUGAUAGAUUUUUCUUUUUCUUCUUUGUGGUGUAGGAGCUGCUGUUUCAUCUUAUUGCAAUAGCCAGGCAUAUUGAACAUUUUGCCUCUUGGGAAGACCCUUUUAAAUCAACGAUGUUUCUGAUGUUAACUACCUUGGUUAUUUUAAGGUAACACAUCUCUAACCACAAUAUAGUACACUUGGUUAGCAGAUUGGUGUGUCAUAAAGUUUAUUAUUCCAUAUAACUGACUUCUAUAUAAAUUCAGUUGUUUCAAUGCAAUUUGUAUAACAAGACUUUCCAGGACGUAAAAUGGCCCUUGUGAUAAAGACGGUAACUGCAUCAUACUUGCAUGAACAACUCAGUUUCUGGGAAAUGACAAGAAGUGCCUAGAUGUAAAUGUCCCAAUACGAUAAAUAAGCAAUAAAAAGUGGAGAUUUUGUGUUGGAUGGUUAACUUAAUUGUGAAGAAAGUUAUUUCCUAUCCAAGAUUCCACAGAUGGUUUCCUUUUGGGUAAAUUUAGUAUACUCAAUUGACUAUGCCCACUGUUCAUGCACAUAAAUUGACUAACCUGGAUUUUCUUGGUGAUUUUAGUUGCCGCAUUUAUGAAAUUUGAACUGUUAUUGAUAAUUUUGACAAAUCUGUGCAAUAAGGCGUUUGAUUUGAUGUACAGGGGGUGGAUCAGGUAUGUAUUGGCAUCAAUUUCAGUGUUCUUGGCAGUUUGUAUGCUCUGGAGCCGGCUUUUCAACAGGGGAAAGCCUUUAGAACCCAUCAGAAUUAUACUACCCCCUAAUAAAAAUGCAGUAGAGCAGCUGCUAACCUUACAGGAAGCUAUAUCUAAAUUUGAAGCACUAAUUCAAGAUGGAAAUAUUAUUCUUCUGAAAAUAAGAGCUCUACUAUUUGCAGCACUUCCACCGGUAUGUGUUCAGCGACAUGCUCAGUUUCUUGAAGCAAAACUAGAAACUAAAAUAUACUGCAUAUGAAAAUAUUGUUAUUUCACAAGGUCUAUGUAAUAUUGUUAUUUCACAAGGUCUAUGUCUAUAUCCUUGCGUAUUUUACCCAAGGCAUUGUAGUUAAGUUUAUGCUCUCACAAGCCUGUCUUUACUUUUAUGGUCUCACAAACCUGUCCCCAGUAAGGAAGUGGUACUUUGCACAGGUUUUCUUGCUGGUAGUUUCACUAGAGUCCCUAGUAUUUCAUUUUUCCCCCUCUCUUGAACACAAUUUCUGCUGGAGCAGUAUAUUGUAAGACGUAAAUCAUUAAAAAUCACUGUACAAAAAUCAGUAGAGUAUGCUCUUUUCUUUUCUUUUUUCUUUUUUCUUUUUUGGGAAUCAAAUGUGCAUAAGAAAAUGCUUCUUGACUGGCUUCCCUCAGUGUUUUCGAUGUUAAGUAUAUUCAUAUUGUCUGCCUGCAGGCCACGGACAAGGUUGCCCUAUUGCUGGUUUUAAUGGCUGCAGUAUUUGUAUUUGUGCCUCCGAGAUACAUAAUUCUGUUGGUAUAUCUGGAGGCUUUCACAAGGGAACUGCCAUAUAGGAAAGAAAGCAGUGACAAGUUGCUGAGGCGGGCAAGAGAAUGGUGGUUUAGGAUACCAGCAGCUCCUGUUCAGCUAAUUAAAAAUGAAGAGAAAAGGAAAAAGAAACGAUAAGAACAGCAUCCAAUUGUAAAUAACUGGAAGAAAAAGUGGAAAUCUUUUCUGCCAAACUGUUCUUAUCUCUUACAAUGAAUGAACCCCUUUUUCUUUCUUUGCAGUAUCAAUUCUGAAAUAUUCAUACUGAAUCAUCCCAUCGCUAGAUCGCAAUUAGGUUUGUUAUCUUUUUCUUUAGCAAUUUGAUGAUACUUCAUCCGCAAAGUGCUUCUUUGCAAGUUGAACAAGGUCAAAACCUGGACCCAAGAGUCCUCUGUAAUAGCUAAAGGGCACUUUCAAUUAGUUAUGCAUCUUUGGAAUGUUCAUCCUCUACCUAUUUCAUAACAAGGGUGCACAUUACUCUCCACCAUGAGUCUCUUGGGGGUGGACAAAUUCAAUAGGCUGAAAACUUGCAAUGUCAGAGAGUAAACAAAGUGAAAAAUCACAAUUACGUAAACGCUUAACAAUAAAAUAAAAAAUGCCACUACAAAUUAUCAAGUAUCAAAACCGUCACAAGGUUGAGAAAAAAAGCCCACCCCCAUGGAUUUCAUUGUGCCGUAACUCGCAAAGCUUGUUUGGGCUAUAGUGUAUCAGCUGAACACAUAAUGAACAAGUAUACAAACCACUGGGCUGAAGUAAAACUACUCGACAUGAGAAAAAGAUGAGUCUUUGAUUUAAAAAAAGGCUGAAAUACAAAGAAAACUAUUACAACAUCAACUUGAAUUUCCUUAUUUGAGAAAUAAUUUGUCAAGGGGAUUCAAAAUCUGACGUUCAAAACAUAUACAGGUAUAACUAUUUGGACAUGGAGUGGAAUACUAUUAUAUAUUUCAACAUCCUCCAGUAAAUUUGACUCCAAAAGUUAUGUUGAUAAAAAUAACUAAAGGGCUGAAUUGGGGGACACACUAAUCCAAAAUGCCUGUACAUUUAAUUUCACCCAUCUGGAAACAAAAAAUAAAAAUAAAAUGUCCAGCAUCAAACAUUAUCUGGCCAGAACUCCCUCCGAAAAGCUCGAUCAAAUUCUGUCUCCUGUAACCGUCUUUCUAAUUCCAGCAUCUUCCUCAUCCUCUUAGAUGCCUUGGAUUUCUUUGGAGGUUUUUCCUGGAAUUUAUUGGGAGGAUAUUAGAAAAAUGCACUACGCACAUACCAAAAAAAAAAAAAAAAACUGGAAUACAAAUAUAUCAACAAUCAGAGCACAUGUACAUAUGCACAUUUACUAUAAAAAUCCUGCUUUGAUCUAUCAUAGACCUUUCAUCAAAUCUUGAUUCAAAUGCAUAAGUAAUUAUAUCAAACAGUUAGCUAAACAUAGUGGAAGGGUAUUUAGGAUGAAACCUACCAAAGAUUUUCAGUGGGUUAAGGUUCUCAAUAGUGGAAUUUCAUAACAAGAUUCAAAUAAAGUAAUUUAUUAGGACCUGUAAAUUUAUUGCUUGAAUAUAUCAUAAUAUAAUAAAUUACAAAAUCAAGACAGCUACAACAUUUUACCCCUUUUAAGAUUCUUGUUUUCUCCUAAUGAUGGGAUGCUCGACCAAUAGAAAAAGGAAAAUUGAUCGAAAGGGAAUUUCGAGACAUGAUUAAUGAAACAAACAAAACUAACCUUUUCAUUUUUGCUCUCAGCUUCCAGAGCUUCAAUAGGCUUUGGCCUCUUAACUUUCUCUGCUCCGAUACCUCGUUUGUUUUUCUUCACAUGUGUUCGUAUUGGCUCCAGCCUACCCUGUUUUCACCAUGAACUCAUUGAUCAAAGAAACUACGAGUUUUCCCAGCGAAAACAAGUCAUAUAUGGAUGUACGCAGCAUGCUCAAAUCCAAUUUCAAGAUAAAGUACAAUAUUUAAGCCCUGUUUGGCGUUGAGGUUGGGCAAAGUGUUUGGUAAACACGUAGCGGCUAUAUCUUGAAAGUUAAGUUAAUUUGGUCCACCGCUUGUAUGAUGAAAAAGCUGUAAUAUCUUUACUAUAUUUGUCAAAAUUAUUAUUUAAAAGUCAUAUUUACCGCACAAUACUAACUUUUAUUUCAUAAUAACAGUUUUUUGUCCACAAUACUUGUAGCUUAAAAAUUUCAGUACAACCAUAACAAACAGGGCCUUGGUAGUAGUUAUCAAUGAUAUAUGUUAUUUCGGGGAAUUCCCUACCUUCCAUUUCACUACAGUUUGAACUAUUCAUGUAAAAAUGUAGAAGAAACCUAAUUAUCGAGUAAGUUCUAUUUAUUUAUUUAUUAUUCUCAAAAAAAAAUUUCUCCUCUUUCAAAGUUACAAUUUUCAAACAGAAUCCUUCUUCAGUAAUAGACUCGUAAAUCCAGAUAUAAUACGUAAUCGCAAAACUAGGUUUUGAAAAAUUUUAAUGGAAAAUUUUAACUAACCUGCUCAGCAAUUCCAAGACCGGUUCCUUCUUUCCAUCCGUGCUUCUUCAAUAGCUGUAGACAACAAUCAGCCCCUUUAGACAGAAAAAAAAAAAAAAUCGAAUUUCGCACUAAAAAAAUAAUCGUAAUGUGUACUUAAGAGAGAAAAGAAUCAGAUCAGGAAGUCAAAAGAUACCUGAAAGCCUAUAUUUGAUGAAGUGAUAGCCGCUGACGAACCUGACAACUCCUCCCCCAUUAAUGCUCUCUACUCCUCAGCCCCAAUAACAAGAAUCUCCAAUUCAGGGUUACGAUUUUACGAUAGCAAACACCGGAUUAUAAUAAUAAAGAAAAAAAAAUCUUUUAAAGAAAAAUCGAUGAAAUGAAACACAGUUAUUUCUAGUUUCUACGGGAUUUGUUUUGUCGGAUUUGCACCGUCGUAUCGGGCUCUAUUUGGGCCUAGCGGCCUAGCCCGAGAUGCUCUUUUCUUUUCUUUUUCCGUUUUUAAUUAAAUCAUCAAUUUUAAUAACUCUGCUAUAUUUAGAUUAUAAAAAAUAACCAACCCACCCCCCCAAAAAAAGCUAACUAAAUUCUUCUAAUAAAUUUAUUACAUGUAAGCAACUAUGUAUUCUUCUCGAUCAGAGUUGAUAACUUGAUAUUGUACAUUAAUAAUAAUAGUAGAAGACACUAUGAUGUAUGAGAAAUAUUACAUACUAAAUUAUUAUUAUUCUUCUAAACCUUUUCUUUAAUAAAAACAAAUAUCAACAAUUUAAAAUGAGUAAAAUAAAAAGAAUCGAUGAUAGGCUUAUUAUAAAGUUGAGAUACAAAAUUUUGUAUCCCAACUAUUACAGAAAAUAACAUGUCAUUAUUUCAUACACUUACGUUAUAAUUAAUUUUUAAGCUUAUCAUUUUUCAUCGAGAUACUAAAGUUAUUGUGAUGUCACGUUGAUAAUUUAUAAUAGUGUCACAGUAGUUGAAAUACAAACUUUAAACUUUUAUUUUAUAAAUAUAUAAUAUAUUAUUACUCAAAAUAAAUAACAAUUUACUUGAUACACAAAUUUUAUAGUAUGUAAAAAGAAUUCAUUUGAAAAUAAGAGUUCACUGUUUUUUUUAGUUUUUAAAAUUUUGUUCCUAACAAUAUAUUUUAAAAGUGUAUUUACAACAAAAAACAUGUAGGGUGCAUUUGGUACUAUUUUCAAUUAGUGUUUUCUAUCCUUAUUUUAAAAAAGCAAAAUGAUGUUUUUGAUGUGAUGUUUUUAAAAGUUAAAAUGUGUUUGGCAGUUCAUUUUAAAAUAAUAGAUAAAAAGUGAAAAUAACGAAAAUAUAUUUGGUUGUUUGUCUGAAAAAAUGAGAAUAAUGAAAAAGAGUAAAUAGUUAUUUAUUAUUUAAUAUAUUUUUAAUAGUUUUAUUAUAUUUUUUUGUGGGAGUUAUUAUCAUUAAGUGUAAUUAUUUUAUUUUAAAAUGUCUUCUAUUAUUCUAAAUGUCAUUUUACAUAAUAAAAUAUAAAAUUAAAUAGUCUAAAAUAGCAUAAUGCAAUAUAGCAAAACAAAAAAAUAUAUUAUGUUAUAAAAUUUUAAUUAAAAUAUUAUGAUUAAUUGUAUUUUAUUUUUAUUUUAAAAUUUCCUUUUGUGUUUAAAAAUAAUAUUGCAUUAUAAUCAUUAAAAUUUCUUUUGUUAUUAUCUAUCAUUAUUAUAUACAUAACAUAUUUCCUGUUGAACCUACACGUUCAUUGGAAAAAGUGGUUACAAAGUCAAAUUGUGGGCUCAUUCAAACUCUCAAUAGAGAAUGAAAAUUAGAGAACACCAAUAAGGCAUUUUCUAAUUUUCUUUGUUAAGUUUAAAGAAAAAAAAUAAUUUAUUUUCUAAUACUGUAGUGUUUUCUUAAGGAAAAUGAGCCCACCAAAUAAAUUUUAUAUAUUUUCUUUUUUUAAAAAUAGAAAACAGCAGAUCAAAAAUGGUAUUAAACGCACCCGUUUUUCCUAGUCAUUAAAUCCUAGGCUUAACCAAGUGGGUUUUUUAAAUAUUUCUUUCCCAUGUCAUCCAAAUUUUAAAUUCAGAAAUGUACGGUACAGCAGUGUUAAUUGAUUUUUCGUUUUUUACUCUAAUUAAAAAACCGGCCAACAAAAAACACGUCGACGUCGUUUUCAUUUUUCAUUUCCAACUUCAUGUGUAUCGAUAUAUAAAAGAAAAAAUAAAAAGAAAAAUAAAAAAGCAGAUCUGGUUUAUUUUGUUGUUUCGGUUUGUCGACGUAAAUUAAAACAUAAUCACAGACACAGAGGGAGUCGUAUAUUGAAAAAUUUCCUGGGCUUUUCUCUCUCUGUGAACACGAAAACCCUAAUUUCUUGGCCUUCAUUUUCGUGGAAAAUUGAAUGGAUUUGGAUCAGUGGAUAGCCAAAGUCAAAGAGGGCCAGCAUCUUUUAGAAGACGAGCUUCAGCUCCUCUGCGAAUACGUAUGUUUACAAAACAAUACAUAUUGCUUUUUACUUUUAUUGAGUAUAAAGAGUUAGGGUUUCGCCUUUUCGUUUUUGCCUUUUACUUGCCGUUAUCUCUGAAUAAUUGAAAGAUUUUUGUAUCUGUUGUCGAUGUUUACUUGUUAACCAAAACAAUUCAUUUAUUAGUGAUCAGUGAAAAAUAAUCAUCUCUUUUUAAUCUGUCUUGAUAAAUUGUUGGGCAUUGUAAUUUGUGGCAUGAGUAGAAUUUUUUGAAUGCAUAAUUUGUGUUCCUAUUUUUGUACUCUGAAGUGGCAUGUAAUAUGCACAUUAGGGUCGGUCCCACAUUCGGCACUGUGUGCCAAUAUUUGGCAUCUUAAUCAUAGUAUUGCUUUUGUUUUAGCAUGUCUUUUAAUUCUUAGUCUGGUGGUUUUGCUUUUGUUUCAUGUUCUUAAUUCAUAAUGUAGUUGAAUUGGGACGUUAUUCAUUAUGGUGUAGAAGUUGUACUAGUCCGGCAUAUUCAGCUGAACAAAUUCUUGAAGCUGGGUGGUAAUAGAUCUGUUGAUUCAUUGUUUUGGUAAUAGAUUCCGUAUAUGAAUGUAGAUAUACUACAAUCGUUGACUAAAUACUUUGGUUAUACUAUUUUAUUGGAUUAUUUUUUAUUUGUUAGUUAUUCUUUUCCUUUUGGGAAACUUUUACAUGUUUGAAUUAACCAUGUGUUUUCACGCGAUGAAACUGCUGACUUUGAUAAAAUGUAUCUAAUUUUUGGAGAAAAGAUAGUUUAUAUGUUUUCUGAUUUUUGUUUACCUGAUGUCUCCUAACUAGCUGUUGUGUACAAAAAUAUCGCAGGUGAAAGAAAUCCUUAUUGAAGAGUCCAAUGUGCAGCCUGUUAACAGUCCGGUCACUGUCUGUGGUGAUAUUCAUGGCCAGUUUCAUGACCUAAUGAAACUUUUUCAAACAGGAGGUCAUGUACCAGAGACAAAUUACAUAUUUAUGGUAUAAUUUUUAUUUGUCAACCAGAAUUAUCAUGACAUUGUAGUGCUUUGUUUUGGUAUAAUUUGUUUAUGCCUUGACAGGGUGAUUUCGUUGAUCGGGGUUACAAUAGUCUUGAAGUUUUCACCAUUCUUUUGCUUCUUAAGGCAAGGUAUGCUUGUUUCAUGCAUUUUCUUGCUUGCAUCUAUAUGUUUAUCUUUAUUAAUUUUGAAAUUAUCAUUUCAUUUUUAUUGCAAUUUUUAGAUGCCUUGGAAUCAUGUGAGAAUUUGUAAUGGUUAUAUCGGCCUAGUAACUAAAUCGGACAUCGACCAUCAUGUUGACUGCUUAAGGGCUCAAUAUGUGAUACUUAUGAAUGUUGCACUAUUGUUUUUACCAAAAGUUUUGAAAAUAAAGCUUCUCGGUAAAUUUUAUUAAAUUCCUUAAUCUCUUGAAGAAGCUAAUAUGACUCUUAUGUGGUGCUGCUAGAUACCCGGCAAAUAUUACUCUUUUACGUGGAAAUCAUGAAAGCAGACAACUGACCCAGGUAUGCUAUUUAAGUGUUCCUUAGUUGUCUGUUUGUUGAUUUGUGAUGUUACUGAUGAUUUCAUACGGCUACAUGUCAGAGAGUGACUUUUACUUUUGUUUGAUUCAAGCUCUAGUUUGAUAGGUUGCUUAUGUCCCCAGGUAUAUGGAUUUUAUGAUGAGUGCCAGAGGAAGUAUGGAAAUGCUAAUGCAUGGCGGUACUGUACAGAUGUUUUUGACUAUCUAACUCUCUCAGCAAUUAUAGAUGGCACUGUGAGACUCUCAUUUUAUUACUACUAUUUUUUUUUCCUCCUUGCUGGCUGUAUAUAUGUUCUGUGUGAGUUACAUGGAAAAGUUAAAAUACGUUUUGGCUUUUUAUUUUGUAGGUGCUUUGCGUUCAUGGUGGCCUUUCUCCUGACAUACGGACAAUUGAUCAGGUUUCUCCCCAUUUCGUUUUGCUCAGCAGUUGUUUAUCUGAUCCUUUAUAACAUCCUUCAUAUUCUAUACUUAUCAUUUGAUUUUUGCGACUGCCUCAUCAUGUCUGCAUAUGAUUUGAAAUUUUUGUAUUUGAACUGAGGGGAGUCUUUAAAUGUCACCUUUGAAUGAUGUUUGAGUCAAUUCUGUAAACUGCAACACCUGCACCCUGACAGGCAUUUUUUGACAUGGCAAGGACUUAGAAACCAGACACUUUGUCCAAAAAAGGGAUACAAUAUGUUGCGGGCUUGUGUCUUUUAACUUUUAUUUUUCAAAAAAAAGGUUAGGUUAUUAGCAAAUGUAUGGGAAGUGAUUUUGAAGAGAAAUAGCUGAGAGGGGUAAAAAUCUAUGUUUUAGCUAAUGUCAGAUAAUUUCAAUGUUUUUGUAUUUUGUAUUUUGACAUGGACGUCAUGGAGGUGUUUGGUGCAUGCUGGAAUGUUAAUGCUAACCAGCUACAUUUCUUAACAGUCAGUUGCCUUCAAAGGUGAGUUUGAUAGGUUGCAGUUUACAUAUCUGAAGCAUGCCUUUGUGAUUUAUUGGAUUCUUUUGAAUUCAAAUUGCUGGUUUUCGUUGUCAGUGCUAAGUUCAGAAACUUUUAUUUUAUUGAGCUAGUAACCAUAGUUAAACAACAAUGACCCCUCAAUGAGACUUUUGUCUAACUAGCCAAAAUAUGAUCUUUGCGGUUAUUUCUGUGUUUCAGAGCGUUGUGCUGACAUAUGAAGUUUUGAUAUUUACUUCUUUUUUCCCCCUGUUUGGCAGAUUAGGGUGAUUGAACGGAAUUGUGAAAUUCCACAUGAAGGACCAUUUUGUGAUCUCAUGUGGAGUGAUCCAGAAGAUAUUGAAACAUGGGCAGUCAGUCCACGAGGAGCUGGUUGGCUUUUUGGCUCCAGGGUCACAUCUGAGGUAAUGUGAUUUGGAUCUGAAAUUGCAAUAAGAUUUUCCUGCUACUGAUGUCUUUUCCUCUUUCUUGCAGUUUAACCACAUAAACAAUCUUGAUUUAGUUUGUCGAGCACACCAGCUUGUACAAGAAGGUCUCAAAUACAUGUUUCAAGAUAAAGGCCUAGUGACUGUGAGUCACUUAAUCUUUUGCUGCUCACAUUGAUGCUUAACCAAAUAAACGUUGAUGAAAUAGCUUGGUUUUUGAAUUUUGCAGGUGUGGUCCGCGCCAAAUUAUUGUUAUCGUUGUGGGAAUGUAGCUUCUAUAUUGAGCUUCAAUGAGAACAUGGUAAGAUAUCCUGCUUGUUGGCAUGCUGGGGUGUGUGUGUGUGUGUGUGUGUGUGUUUUAGAUAAUCUUUGCUACUGAUACCAUUAUAUAUCAUGCCUAGAUGCUGUGACAACUUGGAUAUAUUAAUCUUUGCAACUGAUACCAGCAUAUGUCAUGCCUAAAUGCUGUGAUAAUUUUGAUAUAUUACUGCCCCAAUCUAUCAAAAUCAUGUUUGGUUAUUAUUGCUGCAAGUUACCUGUGUGUGUCUGAGUUUGUUUUUCUGUGAGGAGAAUUAUUCAUCUUCAUUUACAUGGGACCUGAUCUCAAGUUCAGGAGUUAGAAAUUAGUUACCAUUCAGGGGGCAUUUUAUGAAAUGAGAUGGACAUACCAACCAGACUGUUGGGUGAUGACUGUUUGAGUUGCUUUGGUAGCUCAUUUGUGGACACCAGGUCCACUACACAUUUGUAAUACUUGUUUUUUAAUAAUCAUUAAUAUUUUCUUAGCCCCCCCUCCCUCCCCAAAACACCAAAAAAAAAAAAAGUGAAGCAUUCUUGCUUGCUAGUAGUAAGAUUUGCGUGACCAAUAUAAUAAAUGCUUAGGUGGCUUGCAAUGCUCCAAUCAUCUAAACAUGCUGUACAGACUUUUUGUUUUCAGUUAGCCGCCUUUCUCCUUUUCUAUUUCUUGGGAAUUGAUACUGUUACAUUUUGCCUUCAGUCUUUCUCGUUCAUGUGAUUCGUUUUCUUGUUCAUGCUACAUUAACUAACUCGCUACAAAAUUGCUCAGUGUUCCAUUCUUUUGUUUAAAUUGAAUUCUUAUUCAAACCAUCCAUUGAAUUAAUUGCUAUAGUUAAUUCCAUUAUCAUCGUUAUCAUUAUGUGAAGCUAUAAGCAUGGUUGCUUAGUGGAUUCACCCUUGCCUUUAACUUGCUGUGGGAAAAGGCAAAACUGAAACUACUCCUACUAGUUUGUUCUUAUUUAUUUAUUUUAUGUCUUCAUGUCCUCUGGAUGUUUAUGCAUGUAUUUACUAAUUUUGGCUGUUAUUUCCUAAAGGAGCGCGAAGUGAAGUUUUUCACUGAAACAGAGGAGAACAACCAGAUGAGGGGACCCAGAACAGGAGUUCCAUAUUUCUUAUGAUCAAAGGGAAUUAUCUGCUGCAAUUACUUGUAAAAUUGUCCAACUGCAAGCAUGUUGAUCGCUGAUGACCUUGCAUGCGUUCUUACCUGUUUGCAGGUGGACCUCUUGUUUGCUUGGCUUGAAUUUUCAGUUUGGUCCAGGCUGCUUUGGAAAUUUGUAGGUUGUGUAUUAGAGUUGCUGUAUGUUUCUAUAUGAAUUAGUGUCCAUUUUCAUUCUUAUAUGCCCCUUUUUGAAUUUCAUUAAUCAACAAUCAUUAGAGUUGCUGUAUUUUUCUGAUAAAUAUGUCACUUUACGAUUAAUUACCAAUCAUUGUUUUUCAUCUUACUGCUGCUUGAAACAAUUUUGGGUUUUCGUAUUGGAUUCCUGACGGCAACUUGGAUCCCUGGUGUUGAUGGUGCAGUUUCUAAACAGCAAUAUAAAGUUUGUUAAGGAUUGGGAAAAAAAUUAUAAAAAAAGUGGGAUCUGUAGGCCUUUUCAACUGUUCAUCAUCCCUUGUUCUUGACAUGUAAUGUUUGGAAUUGAAUUGGCAGAUUCAAGAAGUAAUUGAAGGAUGCAUUUCAAGCCUCAAAUGACCUUUUUUAAUGAUAAAGGGCACGUAAGAUUAGGCAUGCUAGCUGACCGCAGAAUAUCAGCAAGUGUAUCCAAUUAGAAGCGCAAAGAUCUUAUUUUUAAUAGCAGAAUAGCAUAACCAGCCCAAGUGGUCAGAGUCACUCCCUCACAAAUGUGAGGGAAGUGGUUCGAGCCUCCGCAGACGCAUUGUAGGGGUUUGAUUUCAAUUUCCUUCUUUGGAGCCUCAGAGCUUGAGUGAAGGCAGUUUUUCUCUUAGAAUGGGAGUUGACGUCCCUCGAAUAUUUGAGAGGGUUAAAAAUUUGAACGGUGUCAUAUCAGAAUUGAUGUAAACGGAUCUCAAUAUAUAUAUGAUUGUAAAUGUCAUCAUGAGCAAUAGUUCUCAUUCAAAAAAAAAAUAAAAAAAUAGCAGAAUAGCAUUUGGUAUAUGUUAAUCCUAAUGGGAGGGCAGGAAGAAAAUGCAUCACUUGUCUUGUGGCUCCCUUCUGAAUAAUAUACAAUUUCUGAUUAAAACACCGUGGCAUCCUGUGAAAUAAUAGUUUCUGGGAGUUGAAAAAAAUAUAUUUCUAUGGAAACUAAAUGUUCAAAAGCAGUGAUUUUGUUAAUGACUACUUGGUUUAUCAGUAUCUCUACUGAGUAGUAGAAGUUCCUGCCUCAGAGAUUUGAUAUCUCUACACUUUCUGCCCUUUUUAGAAAAGAAAAAGAAAUUAAUGUCCUGUGAAGGAACCCCUACAUUGUAAUCCUUGUUCCCAGUAAUAAUAAGACGGCUUUGGGUUGUUUUGUCAGACAGUUCAGUGAUCAGGCAAUCAAGAGGAAGGUAUUAGAUUCUGUUUGAUGAAUGUAUGUAUUACUGCUUGUUGAAUCUAACUCUGGUCUAUCAUGAUAGAUUCGUUCGUUAAAUAGUCAGAGCCUGCUAAGUUUAUGGCAAAGCUGAGGGAUAUGAAAACGGAUGACAAUUUACUGCCGUUUAAAUGUGAAGAUGGUGCUGGCCAUGAUCUAAUUCCAGGAAGGUAAGCUGCUGACGUUAAAGAUUCAUCCUUGGUUUGCUUCUUUCUUAUUGGAACCAAAUUCUGUGAAUUAAGAAAUGAUCUGAGGGGCUGAUAAGAGUGAAUUUUUCUUUUUUAAAUCCGCACUCCAUAUGAUUCACUCUUGAUUCAUGCUACCCCACUGUCUGCUUUUUGAAUGAAUGCGAGUGUUCGCCUGCUUUGGACAACGUGAGUAACUCAUGGUAGCUGCUGGACGAUUGUUGAACGCCUAUUUUUUAAUCCUUCUUGUGUAAGUAGUCACAGAGCCAUGUUGUGUUGGUACGGAUGUGGAAGACUUCAAGAUGAUGACUUAAAAAUAUGCUUUUAUACUGAAGGGCUCUAAGUAUGAUUCCUGCCUCUGGUUCUGAGCAGAGCUGAUGGACUAAUAAUGAUGAUUAGAGACGCUUAAAACUAUAUGGCCUUUGCUGCAGAAGAUCAGCUGGGUACAACGCAGUAGUAUUUGGUAGAGUUCUUUCCAUUCCUAAGUGGUGAAACUGGAACAUGAAUUUUUAUUCAAACAGAUACAACUGUUAUUCCUGAUUUUAUCAUUUGAAUUGUGAAUAUAUGGUAUUUGUCAAUGUAACCCACGAACUCUACAGAGAAUAACCGUCAAUUUGUCUUCAAAGUUUAUCAACAACAUUUUUCCUCGAAGAAGCACCACAGCCUGCGUUAAGCACUGCCUAUGAAUAGCUGAUACCUGAUGACGGCAUACAAAAUUGGUCUUCUUGGGUCAUAAUGUUGUGAAAUCGUACGUAAAAUGAAUUCUAGUAAAUAUUACAAAGGCAUCAACAGUGGCUUUCCAUGGGAGACUUUUUGAGCUGUUGUUUCAACUUCUUUUUGAUAGCACACCUGUUUGAUAAAAUGACACUUCAAUCUCAAUUUUUGUUUGAAUACUAGUGAUCAAUUUCAUAUCAAGUAUCUUUACCAACUCUACUACUAAAAUAACUCGACAAAGUAUUAAAAAACUACACCUAAAAAAAAAAAAAGUGAAAAAAAAAAGCUGUCGCCAAGUAACAAAUAUGAUUCCGGAAGUUUGCAACUGCUUUCAUAUAAAACAAGAAGUCUCGCUUGAGUUCCCCAAGUUUUCUGCUAACGAUAUUGAUACUCUCAAGUGCUGACGUGUCUAUAUUUACCAGUGUGUGGCAGUCCAAGUUGGCGAUCCCAGUGAAUAAAAAUAGAAACACUGACGUAUGAACAAUGUCAUACCUUAACCAACUUUCCCGCCAAUACUGAUGAGCAACAAACUUUUCAUUCCGAGUUGACGAUCCGGGUAAAUAAAACACAACAAACACACCUUAACAAACAUUCUCGCCGGUACUGAUCAGUAACAAACUUUGCAUUCCGGUCAAUGAUGUACGGCUGAUGAUCAGAUUUCAGUUAGAUCAAAGAAAGAUCUCCAGACCAGUCCUCUGUUUCAAUAAAGAUACGUCACAAGACUUUUCACUUUACUACUUCAUUUGGUUUGGUUUAAUUCUUUCACUGCUGCAUUAAUUUGCUACUGCGAAUAAUAAACGUACGGCUGCCAUGAGCUCUCAUCGGCAGCGGCUAUCACCGCCGGAGGCGAAGAAGGUGCCGUUCCUGAUGGAGAUCUUCGGAGACAAGAGACUUGACAACUACCAUUGGCUACGAGACGCUGGCCGCGAUCCCGACGUCCAACGCUAUCUGGAGCUCGAAAAUAAAUACGCCGAAUCCAUCAUGUCUGGUAUGUUUGUAAGUACUAUGCGUUUAUAACUUAGUAAUGUUUAUAUAUCUUAAUUGUGUAUGUAUAUGGAUGUAAAGGUUUGUAAUUAAUGAAGUUAGUUACUUAUAUGUUUGUAAAUGUUGGCGCUCAAUUUUCAAAUGAAGUAAAAAGAUAGCUUUUACAAGUUCUUGGGUUCAAUUUGACUCUAGAAUCGAUAGAUACUUCGGCAGAUUGUAAUAUAACAACAAUUUUGCAAGAAUUACGCAGAACCCACUAAUAAUUUCAUCCCACGUCAAUUGUGUCACAAUUGCAAAAACAUUACCUGCGUUGUUUACACUUCUUUGUUAAGAGACCCAGCCCUCGUCUUGGAAUCCAUUAUUUUCUUGGGUUUAUGACAACUUGUACUGUUACAGAAACGAACGGGUAUGAGUUUGCGUUAUUUAACGAGUUGAAGGCAAGAUUCAAGGAAGAUGAUAUAUCCGUACCGGUUCGUGUAGGUUCACACUAUUACUACCAGAGGAGAUAUCUUAGCAAAGACUAUGUUCAGUAUUGCAGGCGUUUUAUCCCCAACAAUGAAGCCCCACCUUCUGUGUAUGAUAUAAUGCCAACGGGACCUGAUGACCCUCCAGAGGAGGUUAUCAUUGAUGAGGAAGUUAUUAAGUAUAAAAAUUCUCUGGAGAAUUACCGGAUUACUGCUUUCAAGGUAAUUAGAUAUGGGAAGAGAAGCUACUCGGAAUCUUUUUUCUUAAAAUAAAAACGUAUAGGUUUGAGUUAAUGUUUCUGCAGUUAUUGAUUAUGUCUUUUAUCUGAUUUAGGUUAGUCCAAAUAACAAGUUGGUGGCAUUUCGAGAAAACUGCGGAACCGUUUGUGUCAUUGAUUCAGAGACAGGAGCCCCUGCGGAGAAGCCUAUACAGGGAUGUUUGGAGUUUGAAUGGGCUGGUGAUGAAGCUUUUCUUUACACAAGGCGCAAUGCCAUAGCAGAGCCUCAGGUAUAUGAAUCUUAGGUACCAAAUUCUACUUUGAUUGCUUCUCCUUUCAAAGUUGUAGAUACCUAUGUCUGUCUUUUAUUUAUUUAUUUGUAAUUUUUGGAAUUCAUAGUUGAAAUGAGACUAACCCUUGUUUCUUUUCCAUUCUAUAAGAGAUUGCGCUUAUCUAUGUCUGUAUGCUAUUAUGUUUAAAGAACUUGUUUUCGUAUUUUACUCCUGAGAUUUUACCUUGUCCUUUUUCUGCAUUAUCAUGCUCCUUUUAUUACCAUCUUCAAAUACUCCGGUGUAGGUAAUUAAAUUUACAGUCCUAAAUUUUUCUUUUCCAGAAUUGCUAGUUGUUGGAUAAAAACUAACUUAGAAACUUGACUGUAUACGUUAUAACUGGCAUGUUCCUAAUUAAGCUUGUAUAUACAAGGAGAGCCAACCUUACAAAGAGGAACAUCUUCAGGGAGCAUUACAGUUAGAAUAUCUUAUCCUCUCUUUCAUUGUUAUACAGAUUAGCGGUUUGAUUUUGGAUGGUAAAUUUAACUUCAUUAAUCAUUCUGUUGGCCUAUAUGGUUGGCAAUUUGGGUUGAGAAUAGAGUGCAUGUGCAGCAUGUGAAAAUAGUCAUUUCUCCUAAUCUCCUAAUGGUUUGCUUUGAUAAAUAAUAACAGGUGUGGUUUCAUAAGUUGGGAGAAGAGCAGUCAAAGGACACCUGCCUUUAUCGCACGAGGGAAGAUUUGUUUGACCUUACUCUUGAAGCUUCCGAGAGCAAGAAAUUUUUGUUUGUUAAAUCCAAAACCAGAGUUACGGGCUUUGUCUACUAUUUUGAUGUUUCUCGGCCCGAAACGCUUAGAUUUUUGCCCCCUUGGCACCUUGGCAUUGAUAUGUUUGUCAGUCAUCGUGGAAAUCAAUUCUUCAUAAGAAGAAGUGAUGGAGAGUUCCGCAGUGAUGUACUAACAUGUCCGGUUGAUAAUACCUUUGAAACCACGGUUCUUAUUCCACACAGGGAAAGGUAAUACCAAGUUUCAUAGAUCUUUCUUUCUCAACUAUAUUGUUUUAAAUCAAAAGGGUAAUGGGUUGAAUAUGUUUCUUAUCAUAUCUUCUCAAAUGAUAAAGAAUAGAGGGGUUACAGAAAUGCAUCAGUCACAGAGAUGCAUUAUCUUAAUCGGUUUCUCAUUUUGUACAAUCUGGUCCUUUCAGAAACUUAGAAAAUCAUUUGUCUGCAUCUAUCUUGAAAACUGUAUGCAGAAGUGUAGAGUGAUUGGUGCCCUCCAUAUCCCAAAAAUGCAUACUGGCAGCCUUGUAUUAAAAUAAUGCUUAUUUUAGUCUCUUAAUCUUUUAUUUUCUUAAUCCAGGGUACGAGUUGAGGAAGUAAGGCUUUUCGCUGAUCAUAUUGCUGUGUAUGAGCUUGAAGAGGGUCUGCCCAAAAUAAGCACUUAUUGCCUUCCACCUGUUGGAGAACCACUAAAAACACUUCAAGGAGGCCGGACUGUGGACAUUUUUAAAUCUGAAUUAUGCAUAAGCAGGAUUCACGGUAUAAGAGACUCACAGUUUUCCUCCAGCAUUUUGCGGAUUUGUUUUUACACAAUGCGGAUGCCUUUCUCGGCAUACGAUUACGACAUGAAUACAGGAAUUUCUGUUUUAAAGAAGAAGGAGACGGUAAGUAAUAUGAGGAAAUAUUUCUUGGUUUUUUGAAAUUUUGAGAAGUUCGUAGAUUUUCUUGUGUGUCUUAUUAUUUGCUUAAACAUUAUCUGGCCCAUACCUCACACAAUGGAAGAUUCUCCUACGUGUUUAACAUUGAGUACUCUGUCCACUAUUUCUUCAGAUCUUGGGAGGGUUUGAUGAGUCUAAUUAUGUUACUGAAAGCAAGCGGGCAUAUGCUUCAGACGGCGAGGAAAUUCCUAUAUCCAUUGUCUACAGAAAGAAUCGUGUGAAACUUGAUGGGUCUGAUCCAUUGGUACUUUUUGGCUAUGGUUCAUACGGACUUGGGGUAAUAUUCAAGUCUGAGCAUUAAAAUUAUUGCUUCCUUGUGGCGCAAACUGGAUUUAUAAGGGUUUUAUCUUAUCUCACUCUAUGCUUUAUGAAACAAUGCAACGGAUCUUAACAUGGGAGCAUAUGAUAAAACUGUCAAAAUGUUAUCUAAAUUUUGUUUGAUGCUUCUGUCUGCUUCAACCCUGAAUAAAAUUGUUGAUUGUGCUCAUGUAGUUUUGCAAUUUUCCUUUUUUAAAAAAAUCUCCUACAAUGUCCUUUUCUAGAAUUACUUAUUUGAAAUUUUUUGUAAAUCUUAUUUGAAAAGUAGAAAAACCUUCUGAGCAGUCGCAUUCCAGUUUGCAAACCAUUUUUGAAAUCAUGGAACAUGUCAAUGCCAAAAUGCUUAAGUUUUAUAGCUAAACAUUUUCUUUUCUUCAAGUCUUUCUCGUUCCCCUUAUAUCAUAAAAUGAAUCAACGAAUGUUACUUGGUCUUUACUGUGAACUUGAGUAGGGAGUAAUGAUUUUGGCUGUGGGGUUUUCUUGGGAUGGGGACUGUGGGGUGAUGACAUACCAACCAAAAGGCAGAUUUGCCCCCUUCCAAUUACAGUACCUCACCCCUUAACGGUACUAGAGGCUUUAACUGAGUAUUUAUGUACCCUGAACAGCAAACUUUAAUAAUAUAAGAAUGGUAUCAUCUGCCAACCGAGAGGGGUCCUUUUAAAUGCUACUGGCCUGUUUUUGAUGAUUUAUUUGAAGUUUCUUUUUGAUCCUAACUCUCUUCACUCUUUUCUUGUGAGUAGCCUUCCAGCUAUUCUAAUUCCAUAGCAUCGCGACUUACUAUAUUGGAUCGUGGUAUCAUCUUCGCAAUAGCGCAUGUUCGGGGUGGGGAUGAAAAGGGGAAGCAGUGGCAUGAAAACGGGAAAUUAUUGAAUAAAAGAAAUACUUUCACGGACUUCAUUGCAUGUGCUGAUUACUUAAUCAAAAGCAACUACUGUUCAGAGGACAAUCUGUGUAUUGAGGGAGGCAGUGCUGGGGGAAUGCUCAUUGGGGCUGUUCUCAACAUGAGGCCUGAAUUGUUCAAGGUUGCUGUUGCUGAUGUUCCUUCCGUAGAUGUUCUGACUACAAUCUUAUUUUACCCUAGAAAAAGGGAUCUGGAGGUAUUCUGUUCCCUUUUUAGUAUACUCAACUUUUUAUUGAUAUUCACUUUGUAUGUAGAUUGCAACAUCUGUGGUUACUUUGAAGAUUUCUUCCAGGUCAUUGAUGCUUAGAUCUGAUUGAUAAUUCUACUAAUUUUUGUCCUGUAACAUCUAAUGGUAGAAAAGAGAAAAUUCAGACAUUGGAUGGCCAUACUCUGGUUUGUUAGUUUAAUGCCUUAUGUAAUCUUGUUAGAUGGGAUAUCUAGAUCAUAGUUAGCCUUGUUCAGGGGUUGAGUUGCUGUAGUACAAUCAACAUGCAUCACAAAGGAUGCAUAAACUGUGCUAACGGAAAACUUGAUUGAAUGAAAUAACAAAGAGAUGACAGAAUCUCUUACACAAUUGAAUUUCACUAUGCAUAAGUACGUAAAAGAAGAGUGUUUACAUAGUAGGUUAAUUCCCAUUGUAAGGAAAACUUUCAAAUACAUGUAGUUUGCCUAACUAAUUACCGUUCAACUAGUUUCCCAUAUAAUUAGCUCAUAUUACAGUAACACAUUAUUAGCCUGUAACUGAAGGCCACAUUUCUAACACUAUCAAAUCUAGGAGCCUAUACGGACAGUUAUAAGUUGUAUGAAUUUGUAUCUGCAAUUCGUUUGUUUGAUUUUUAUCUGAUAAAUUAGUUAUUUAGUGGAUGCUAAACAACCGAAGUAAAGAAAAGAGAUAGGACAGAUAUCAAAUGCUAGCUUUGAUUAUUUGAUGCUGUCUAUCAGUCCAGCAUUUAUGCAAUACAAGUGCUAAGUCACUAGUUUUUUGGAUCCCAUCAAUCAAUCACUGCUACUUGAUUGCCUGGUGAACUUAAUGGUUUAUUGCUGAAGAGAGAAUUCCAUUUCAUCUUUUUGAACAGAUGAUCAAUUUGAACAUUAAUGUAUUAAUGCAUCUUAUAUUAUAUAAUAAAUCACAGAUGUUAGAUCAUGAAAAUUCUUACAUUUGAUUUGGAGGUACCAUGGUUUUAUUAUUCAAAAUUAAUUUAUCAUGAAAAUUCUUAUAAUUUAAGAUCUUUUUUUACUUUCAGAGGCUACUGCUGUUGUCCUAGUGCUUUAAAUUCUAAGAACCAGUUACAAAUUGUUAGCUUCUAAACAAAUUCCUUUCUGUCGCUGUAGGAAUGGGGUGACCCUCGAAUGGAACAAUUCUACUUCUACAUCAAAUCAUAUUCCCCUGUCGAUAAUGUUAGUUACAUAUCCUCUGUAUUUAUUUAUUUGAAUUCUUGAUCCACAUCUCCAUCAACCAUGAGGUUUUCUUUCUUUUCCUACCCCCGCCCCCGGAAAGGCAUCAACCAUGAGUUUAGAACCGCUUGGUUGGCAUUGUUCUAUGUCGUGUUUGAUUUUUAUAUUUUAUUCAAUGCUGUAAUUUUCUACUAUUUUUGUUUCUCUUGACCUAUGACUUGUUUUUCACAGGUUAAGGCUCAAAAUUAUCCUAACAUCUUAGUCAGAACGGCUUAUCAAGGUUAGCUCAAAGUUUAGAUCUUUUGAUUUACUAGAAAUUUUUUAUUUUUACCAACAGAAUAGCAUUUGAAUUUUGUCAGUCUAUUAUCCUAAAGGGCGGUUAGGAUUUAGGAAGAAAAUGCAACAUACAUUUCACUGUGGCAUCCUGCAGAAGAAUGGUUAUAGGGGGGACAAGAAAAGAAACAAUAAAAUGCUUUAUCAAAUGUUCAAAAGCUGUGCUGUAUUGUGCCACUUAAGUAUUAUGCAUUACACCUGCCUUAAAGACUUCAGAUCUCUACAUGAGUUUCUGUUUGUUAAAAAAGAACAACGACAACAACAAUAAUAAUAAUAAUUUGGUGUAUUGGGACCCCUAUAUUGUGUUGCUUCUUUCGUGUAAUCAUAGGCAGCUUCAAAAGUUUUAUACGACAACCCUCCAGUUGUUUUGACAGACAGAUUACUUCAGGAAUCAAAGCAACUAAGAGGGGAAAUGUUAGUUUUUCUUGUGUCUGGUGCUUGUAUUACUUCUCUUAUUGCUGAAUCAGAACUCUGGUCUAUCUUAAUAGAUAAGCUCGUUCCGUUUUACGGACCUGCUAAGUUUGUGGCAAAGCUGAGGGACAUGAAAACUGAUGACAAUUUACUAUUGCUUAAAUGUCGUUCUGAUGGUGGCCAUAGACAAAUGCCAGGGAGGUAAGCUACUGAUUUUAAAGAUUCAUUGAUGAGGUUAGGCUUUGCUUUUUUGUUAAAUUUUUCAUUAGUGAGAUUGUUUGUACGUAUGCUAGUUGAAGGUAGUUCUUUACCGUUCCAACACUCUUACUCUCAUCUUUGGUUUGGUUCAGUCAUUUUGGAAACUAAAUUCCAUGAAGAAAAUGAUUUGAGGGGUCAGUAACCUGAAAAUUUUAUGAUCCUCAACCAUGUAUAUGAUUCGAUUUUGAUCCACGUUAAUGUCCCUGCUGUCUGCUUUUUUCAAUGCGAGUGUUGACCUGCUUUUGAGACAACAUGAGUAACUUGAUUGCUGCAUGAAUCUUUUCCUUGAAGCCAUUGAAAGUUCGCUUGCAUACCAAUUUUUAAUUGGGUUACAGAGCCAUUUUUUUUUUUUUGGAGCUGCAGCGUUGGGAGGCUUCGGCAGCAGCAGCAAGAUGCCUUCAAAUAUACUUUUAUACUGAAGGCUCUGAAUAUGAUUCAUGCACCUGGCUCUGAGCAGAGCCGAAACUGAAUGAAGUUAAUGCCCAUAUGAGAUGCUACAGACUAUCCAGUUCCAGCUUUUGCUGCACAACAGCAUCAGCUAGGUGUAAUGCAGUGGUUUUGAUAGAAUCACGAGAGCUUUGUUCAAAGAGUUACCUCCUGACCCCUAUCAUUUGGAACAGUGAAUAGUAUUUGUUUUCUACUCCUGUCUCCUGGUGUGGUGUAUUGCCUGGAAAUUUUUGGCACAACUCUUGUAUUGGGUGGGAAAUUCAUAUUUGUCAGUUUAACUCUUCCUUACUAUUUUUCAACGUAUUGGGUGGGAAAUUGCCGUAGAAUUUGUGUAACUGGCAGAUUUAUUACUAAGUCUGCAUUAAGCUCUGCCUAUCGCCCAUGAAUAUAGAUGAUGGCAUAAAAAUUAGACAGAAAAUUUCAUAUUAUGGUAGCCACAGAUGAAUAAUGAUGUUUGUACCGAAAAGAUCACAAAAAUUACCAUAAAAUUUAUAAGAGACACAAGUAAAAAUUUGUUUUGUUUUUAGAAGUCUUUUACGUUGUCAAGAGGAUACAUCUUUCGUCUACAAAAGAUAUUUAUAUUUUUGGGGAUAAUUAUUAAUGAAAAAAAAAUUAGUUAAAACAUUACAUUGUGUGGGUCGUAUACAAUAAUUAAUCACAAUUCUGAUGGCGUACACAGGUGAUUAUGAAUUAUCAUUCAACAAAAGACAAGUUUUUUGGAGGCUUGGUUGGCAGAUUCUUUGCCCCAGUAACACGCCUGAUCCUACGGAGAAUGUCGCCAUAAAUAAAAUAUUAAUUUAUUUAUCUAUUUAUUUUUAUAUAAAGUGCGCUAGAAGUGUAAAAUGCUUCGAAGUGUGUUUUGCAAACAUACGCUGCUUAUAAGCACAAGCGGCUGGCUUAACCUGCCGCGAGUGAUCUGCUCAUCAUCGUCGCUAUCAUCUUCAGAUUCGAAAACAUCAACGGCCACGAUGAUGUCGCAGUCGAAGUUACCGUCGCCGCCGGUGGCGAAGAAGGUGGAGCACAAGAUGGAGUUGUUCGGAGACGUCAGAGUUGAUAACUAUUACUGGCUUCGAGAUGACUCUCGAUCCGAUCCCGAAGUGCUCGCUUAUCUUAAGCAAGAAAACGACUAUUUCGAGUCCGCUAUGUCUGGUAUUCACAUUUUUAUAUUCACAAUUCAAUCUUUUUUAUGAUAUUUGAAUCUUAUACUUUUUAACUUAUGACUAAUUGUGCAAAAAUUUGAAUUUUGUAUGUCUCGAUCUGUGGAAUGAGAUUAUAAAUUUUGAAGUUUGUAUCUCAAGACUAAAUUGGUAUUGAUACCUACUUACCUUGUUAUGUUGUAGUAUAAUCGUUUAGUGAUAAUUAUACCAUGUUUUAAUUCAUUUAUUGUGUAAGUUGUAACUAUCAAAUUUUCUGCCUGUAAACUGAUUGCGCUAUGGCUGACAUGGUUUUUUCAUUGCUGAGAAAAUUAUUUCUCUUUUUUCCUUUUUCUUUUUUUUUUUUCAAUUAAAUCACUGAAACUGUAACCGAUACUAGUUUGUUCAAGAAGUUGACAAAGGAUUUUGUAAUUUUUCACUAAUUUUGUUUUUUGACAAUGUGCAAAACAACUUUUUGUUCUUUCUUAAGUAACAAUCACUUUUAAGGUGAUGAGAUGUUGGAAACUCUUUUAGGAACAAAAAAGAUUGAGGACAACAUGUUUGCUGAGUUAAAAGGAAGGAUCAAGCAGGAAGAUGUAUCUGCACCAUUUCGUCAAGGGUCUUAUUAUUAUUACACAAGGACUUUGGAGGGGAAGGAGUAUGUUCAGCACUGUAGGCGAUUGAUCCAUAAUAAUGAGGCUCCACCUUCUGUUCAUGAUACUAUGGAAACUGGUCCUGAUGCUCCUCCUGAGCAUCUUAUCUUGGAUGAGAAUGUUAAGGCUGAAGGUCGAGGUUUUUAUAGCGUCGGUUGUUUCCAGGUCAAUUAGAGAAGUUACUUUGUAUUUUGUUCACAGGUUGGGAUUUGUUCCGCAGCUUCUAAUUACUGCUUUCGUUCUGGGUAUAGGUUAGCCUGGAUAAUAAGUUGGUGGCAUAUGCAGAAGACACUAAAGGAGAUGAAAUAUACACUGUAUACGUCAUUGAUAUAGAGACCGGAACUCCUGUUGGGAAGCCUUUAGUGGGGGUAACUGCAUCUGUUGAAUGGGCUGGUAAUGAAGCUUUAGUUUACAUUACAAUGGAUGAGAUCCUACGGCCUGAUAAGGUAUAUGAUCAUCCUACUCAGUGUCCUAUUUUUGGUACUAUAUUUUUUUGAACAUUAUCUUGGAGAAACUAUUGAUUGUUGCACGCUUUGUUUGUAAACAUAUUCAAUUUGAAUUAGUUGUUGCAGAGAGACAGCUUAAACUUGGUGUCUAUUUCCUGAUUCAUUGCAGUGUUGCUUUUGAAAAUGUCACAUACUUAUUUGGAGACAAAGCAAUGCCUAUUCAAAAGUCAGUCUGUUCUUCCAUAGUUGUUGGUCAAGCUUUUAGGGUGUUGGAUGGUUACCAUCCAAAGAUGAUCAGUUAAAGAAUAAUAUCUCAUACCUGAAAAUUGCACGGUUGGUAUAUGUGAUGAUUGCAUUGGUAUAUAUUGUUGACGGUGUGUCAUGCACUCAUUCAAUCCUUAUUUCUAGAGCAUGAGGAAAAAAGUAUUUAUUUCCCCACCAUGGUAAGUUCAUUAAAUGACAUUUUAUCUCCUAGUGACUUAUUCAUUUAAAGUUUCCGUGCAAAAGAGGAACAUAUUAGUGGAGUUUUAUAUAGGAUUGAGAUGAGUUAGAAAUACAUCUCUAACCUUAUCUGUUCUUUUAUUAGACCCAACCGUCGAACAUGCUUCUACCCUUGGCUUCUUGUGCCAGAUUCCAGUAUUCUGCUUCAUCCUCGCAGCAUAUAUUUGUUUGAAAAAAUCUUCUUGAAGUCAUUGUGUUGUUGGUGCCAUUUUCCAUUGAUUGGUUAAAUUUUUUUCCCCCUUUAAGCCCUUUGUUAUUUAUUGCUAUUUCUCCUAAUCAAUGGUAUUUUUGUUUUUUCAAGUAGAAUUCUGCAACUAGUCUUGUCAGCUAAUUUUUUUUUCAUUGGUUUGGAUGAUAACUAAUCACAGGCGUGGUUACAUAAGUUGGAAGCAGACCAGUCAAAUGACAUCUGCCUUUAUCACGAGAAGGAUGAUAUAUAUUCUCUUGGUCUUCAAGCUUCUGAGAGUAAAAAAUUUUUAUUCAUUGCUUCUGAAAGCAAAAUUACCAGGUUUGUCUUCUAUCUGGAUGUCUCUAAGCCUGAAGAGCUGAGGGUCUUGACACCUCGUGUAGUAGGAGUUGAUACAGCAGCCAGUCAUCGUGGAAACCAUUUCUUCAUAACAAGGAGAAGUGAUGAGUUAUUCAAUUCAGAACUACUAGCAUGUCCUGUGGACAACACAUCUGAAACUACGGUUCUUAUUCCACACAGAGAAAGGUAAUGCUGAAUUAAGAGUUGCAGAUUAUAGUCAGUCUACUGUCUGGUCUAUCAUUUUGUUAGAAUAUGCUGGCUUCUUGUGAGAUUUAUGUAAAUAGAUGUUUUGUGAACUGUCACAUAUAAACUUGUCCAAGUAAAUGUACAGCUUGACUGCACACAGUUGAGAGGCAGAGUUUCCUCUUCUGAGUUGUAGUUAUUUCACUUAACAGGUUUUGUCAAUCUUUUUAGUGUGCUUUAUACUCUUUUCAAAUUAUGAUUUCUUUGUUUUACAUCUAGGCUGUGAGCCAGAAGUACUGAUCUAUGCAAAACUAAAAAGUUGGCUGUUAACCCAGGGACUGGUUUGGAUUGGCAAAUCAAGGGCUAAUUGAUUUUUUUUUUCCUCUUUUCCUAGGGCAUCUAUCUAUCUGAGGAUAGCUGGUUUAUACCAGUUUUAUCUUGAAGGUUGCCCGCACCAGAACAAUCUCACUUUCUUUUUAGUUUCUGCUGAGGACUGUCCCAUUUAAAAAUAAAUAAAUAGAGCUAAGGACUGUCACCUGAAUUUGUAACAAUAUUAUUUGGUUUUUAGACACUAAUCUGAGGGGUUAUCAAGAAAGUCACUUUGCGACUUUUUAGACAACUGAUGGCCUCUCUUAAGACAUGUCACAAAAAGCAAGACAGUUAAAAUGGUCAAUAGCUGUUUUAGCUCUUCUUUUUAACUUGGAUGAAAUCACUCCGCAUUAUACCGCAUAGGGCAUCGCCUCUACUACUGCCCCUUGCUAUGAGAAUCUAGCUUCACUAAUGCUUGGCAUUCGUAAAUCGUAAGUAGAUUUUAUUGACAGAUAUUUUGAGCCCAAGAAAAGUCAAUGGUUAAUCACUUGAUGCUAAAUCUCCUUUGUGGUAAAUAAACUUGAGCACUUAAUCUUAUUGUAUUCUGUAAUUGAUUAAAAAAGAGAGCUGCUAGUGCACCACCUCCUGAAGAUGAAUUAUUUCAACUAUUGCGGUCAGUUUUUUUGAUGUGGCUCUUUUGCAAAUUACUUGUAAAGCAUUUCAAUUUUCAUUUUUUUGAAGAAGUCAUGCAUAAGUUUCAACAACCAUGGCUUGUGUUCUCACCUCCCAAUAUUCGUACAGGCUCAGCCUAGAUAAUACUUAUGGACUGACAAUUUCUUUUCUACAGUGUAAAACUUCAGGACAUACAACUUUUUAUUGAUCAUCUUGCUGUGUAUGAGCGUGAAGGGGGUCUGCAAAAAAUAACUACUUAUCGUCUUCCAGCUGUAGGGGAGCCACUCAAAAGCCUCCAAGGUGGCAAGUCUGUUGAAUUUAUAGAUCCAGUAUACUCAAUCGAUCCAUCAGAAUCAGUGUUUUCAUCCAGGAUUUUGCGGUUUCAUUAUAGCUCAUUGAGGACACCUCCUUCCGUAUAUGAUUAUGAUAUGGACAUGGGGAUUUCUGUUUUGAAGAAAAUUGAAACUGUAAGUUAUACUAAAAAAAUCUAGCAAUUUUCUGGUUCUAUAAAUUUGAGCCUAACACGAUACACACUGGCUGACAGACUUGUGUCAUUCUGCUCUUAAUAGACUAGGAAAUGUUAUUCAUUGAAGGCCCUUGGUGUGAUUGGCUUUUUUGUUUCUCAUUAUUCUAUUUUGUUUUGUAUCUGACCUUACAAACUUUUCUCUUGUUAUUUGAUCAUCUGACUAAUUCCCAAAACAUGCAUACAGAAAAUUUAAUUUAGGCUCCGUUUGGUAUAACUUAUUAAAUAGAGCUUAUAGCAAUAGAGUUUAUAGGAGUAGAGCUUAUACCAAUAGAGCUUUUGAACAAAAAGCCAUUGGGUGUUUGGUUGUCAAUUAAAAAAGCACUUUUGAACCAUUAAACUGUUUGGUCAUGUAAAACUAAAAGUGUUUUUAUGUAAUUAAAUUACCAAAAAGGAUAUGUAUUCAUAAUUAUAUAACAUGUAACAAAAUGCAUCCAAGCUAUCAAUUAAUAAUAAAAAAUCAAUUCAAUCAUUUCUUUAAUUUUCAAAAUAAAAAAUUGCAUCAUUGAUAUAUUCUCCUAAACAAAAAUUGCAUCAUUUUGGGUAUGUGUAAGGAUUGCAAAAUUAAAGUGCUGGUUAUUUUAAAAAAAAAAAAGAAAGAGAGAUAAAGUGAAGUGGCGGCAGCAAUAUGUUUAUAUGGCGGCAACAAUUUUCGUUUGAUGGGUUUUAUACAAAGGGUAGUAUAUAAUUAAUGAAAUAUGUUAAGGAUAUUUUUUAUAUUAUAAUUUUUUUUGGAAAAGUUCUCUAACCUCUACUCUCAAAAUCUCAAAUUUUGGGCUUUUACUAGUAGAGGUAAAUUAGCUUAUUUAAGCUAAAAAAUUCUACUCAAAAAAUAACCAAACACCAUAAAAAAUUUUAAAAAGUGCUUAUAGGAUUAAAUAAGCACUUAUAACUCUUAAAUAAGUCAUACCAAACAGACACUUAAUCUCAUUACUUCUUUCUUUUAUGUGUUAUUAUUUCUUUCUCACUUUGAGCACUUGUUUCCACUAUUCAUCCAGGUCUUGGGAGGUUUUGAUACAAACAAUUAUUUUACUGAAAGGAAGUGGGCCAGUGCUUCAGAUGGCACACAGAUUCCUAUAUGCAUUGUCUAUCGGAAGAAUCUUGUGAAGCUUGAUGGAUCAGAUCCAUUACUACUUUAUGGCUAUGGUUCGUAUGAGGUAAUUUUUUUUUUCCUUUUUUGAUUGAUAAGAAACUGCAAAUUGUAUUAAAGAUGAAGAAUCUUUACAAGGAGUGAACCAGCUGUCCACUAAGUAAGCAAUAUUGAAAUUAUGCACCAGCUGCCCACUAAGAAAGCAAUAUUGAAAUUAUGCAGUGAAGUCUUUGUAAAUUUGAUAUAUCAGUGGUUCUGUUGGAACAUGACCAAUAUUACUUCUGUAUGUUUCUUUGUCAUCUGCUACCAAAUUCUUACUUCUAAGAUCAAAUUUUUGCUUUGGGUGUUUUGAUUCCUAAUUUUUGUUGCAUGGUAAGAUUAUGAAUAUUUAUUCAAGUUGCCAAUAUCUUACAAUAUCCUUUGCAUUCCUUUUAUCAAUUAUUAUUUUUUUUGUAUAUCUCAUUAAGAAAGCUGAACGACCCACUAAUUCAUCAUAUUGUAGUCCUAUAAGUCAUCAUUUCCAAUCAUGAAAUCAGUUAGUACUUUGGAAAAUGGCUUGAUGUUUUGCAUUUAGACUUUUUUUUCUUUCCCUUUAGAUAAAUUUUAGUUGAUUGGGCUACAUAUUUCUUUGGAGGCAUCGGCCUUUCAUUCUUGCGGCAUAGAGUUAGUUGAUUCUUUUAUCUUGUAUCAGAUGUUUUAUCUGAACUUUCUUUGUGAUUAAUCUGUGUUGUAAACAGAUCUGCAAUGAUCCUGCUUUCAACUCAUCUCGGCUUUCUCUAUUAGAUCGUGGUUUCAUCUUUGCGAUAGCUCAGAUUCGGGGGGGUGGUGAAUUGGGAAGACAGUGGUACGAGAAUGGGAAGUUUUUAAAGAAAAAGAAUACCUUCACUGAUUUUAUUGCCUGUGCUGAGUACUUGAUAAAAAAUUGCUACUGUACAAAGGAAAAACUGUGUAUUGAAGGAAGAAGUGCUGGGGGAUUGCUUAUUGGUGCUGUCCUUAACAUGAGGCCUGAUUUGUUCAAGGCUGCAGUUGCAGCAGUCCCAUUCGUAGAUGUCCUGACCACAAUGCUGGAUCCAACUAUUCCUCUUACAACUGCUGAGUGGGAGGUAUUAUAUUUUUCUUAUUUUUGUUCAUAUGAACCUUUAACAUAGUUUUGCAAUAUUUGGUGGUUAUUUAGCAUGCUUUUUGCCAGAGAUUAAUGCUAAAAUCUGAUAGGCAUUACCAUUGAACUUUUUUGUAACAAGAGAAUUCAGACAUUAAAUGACAGACAAUAAACUGGUUUGUUAGUUUAUGGCGCAUGAAAUCCAGCUAUACAUAAUCGCAAUGCAAAAGCAAGAAGCCUCUUCAAUAUUGCAAUACUCAUAACCAAGUAAUUUGGGAUCAUACAUUAACUAAUCUACAUAAUCUAUAUAGCUUGGAUUUGUUAUACAGAGUUACAAUCUAUGUGAAGUCUGUAUACAGUUUGUUUGAUUGUGUAUCCAUGUUUUAUCAAAUACUAGACAUAAGAAUAUGGAUGAGAAAAAUAUCAAAUGUAAAAAUUUGCUUGCCUUUCUAUCAGCAUAUUAUUCCACAGAACCAACAGAAGUGAUGUGCCAUUUUUUUGUAAACCAUCAUUUAGUCCUAUUUGAUCUCCCGGGAAACUCAAUGAUCUAUUGUAUAAAAUAAUAAAUCUGUGACAAGAUCUGAAAAGCUGAUGAAUUCGAAGCUGGCUUUGUUGAAACGUCUAAUAUAAAUUAUAAAUAAUAUUUUCCACUUUUCAGAUCACCCAAAUUUAUGGAAAUAUGUUUAUAUUCGAAGCUUGCUUUGUUGAAUCAUCUUAUAUAAUUAUAAAUAAUAUUCUCCACUAUUCAGAUCACCUAAAUUUAUGGAAAUAUGCUUCAAGUAUUAGCUCCUGAUUGUUCUCCAUUAUCUUUGUUGACUUUCAAAGACUGCCUCUGUAGGACUGCUGUUUUUUCCCCCCUCCCCUUCACAUGCUAGUGCUGAUGUGUUGCCUUUAAACAAAUUCUUUAUGUUAUUCUAGGAAUGGGGUGACCCCCGGAAGGAAGAAUUUUACUUCUACAUGAAGUCAUAUUCGCCUGUUGAUAAUGUGAGUAUUGCACAACGCUACAUUAUGUUUUUGUAUAUUUGAUCACUAUUAUAAUUUAACCACUAAGCUAUUGACUAUCAGCGCUGUUUGAUUUGUGCCCUUUAGUCAAUUCUUCACAUUUUUGUUAUGCUUGUGUCCUGAUGUAUGAAUUUUCUUUUUACACAGGUUAAGGCUCAAAAUUAUCCUCACAUUCUUGUCACGGCUGGCUUGAAUGGUAAGCAUAAACGCUAAAUCUUUUGAUUAUGUUUUGCAAUAUUAGUUUUCUUGCAGAGCGAAUGUUUGAACUUUGUUAGCAUGGUAUUCCAUAAAUUGGGUGAGGAAGAAAAUGCAUUAAUGCAUUGCUUUGAAGUGCACGUCUUAUGGAAUGACAUUAAAUGCUAGCUUUUGGGAAUUCAAAAGCUUCCCAAAUGUUUAAAUUAGCAUUUUUAUCAUUGCUGCCUGGUCAGUUAAUAUCUUUUAUUUGCAGUGGUUAUACCACUUAGGUAGCUGCCUCUGUGAUUUCAUAAUUGUUAAAGCCAGAACUCUGUCAGAGCUCACUCCUCCCAUGCAAAGUUCAAUUUUCUGUUUUUUUUUUCUUUGUUUUUUUGAGAGAAGUUUUUUACUUUUCUAGAGCCUUUUAUUAUGCUAUCCUUCCAGUUUAUAAAAAUAUAUUUUUUAACUUACUUUGGAUAUUAAAACCAUUUGAUUACUUUGACUGUACUGUCAAAAAGAAGAGUAUUAUUGCUUUUCAUGUUUUAUGGCAUAGUUUAUGAAGUAAGAAACUCGAAUGGUUUUUUGAUGAUUGAUAUAUUUAGAUCUCAAUUGGUGAUUCUCUUUCCUGGAAACUAGGGUCAGAUGAGCAUUUUGAUGCAUUGUUCAUAAAAUUGAGUCCAAACAAUACCAUUUUCAGAGGACAUUGGAGUUGGGCUCAUCACAAUGAUUAAUUUUAAAAUUUUCCUUGCAUACGAUUCAUAGCAGAUUCUUAUGUUUUACAUACUUGAUGCUUGUAUUACUUCUCUUUCCACUCAAGCUGAUAUCUGGUUUCUUGCAACAGAUCCACGUGUUAUGUACUCGGAACCUGCUAAGUUUGUGGCAAAACUGAGGGAAAUGAAAACUGAUGACAAUAUACUAUUGUUUAAAUGUGAACUUGGUGCUGGACAUUUUUCAAAGUCAGGGAGGUAAGCUGCUUGUGUUUAAUAUUUAUUGUGAAGCAGGCUUUUUGGUUUUCUAUUAUAUUUGCUGUUAUUAGUGGCCAGCUUAAUGUGAUUUAUGGAUUCUGACGCGAGUGAUUACUAGGGAUCAGAGGUAAUUGAUGAAUAUGAUCUGCAUUUGCAGGAAAUUAAAAUUAUUGUUAAUUGGCAUAUUUAGCAUCUCAACUUAGAUGAAACGUUUUAGAUAUGUGAAGGCUAAUAUGUAUAUAGUAUAUUGCUUCUUCAGGAUUUUGUGGAGGCAUACCCUGGGUUGUGUACACUGUAUUCACUACCUAUAUUUCUUGCUUGGAUCCAUCAUAUUUAAUCCACUACCUAUUUUUUAUGUUUGGAUCCAUCAUGUUUAAUUCACUACCAUCAUGGACAAUCAUGAGCUAUCUGAUUGUUAAUGAAAUUUUAAAGUAUGUCACUUGUUAGAGUUCUGUAUAAAAUCCAAAUUUCCCAUUUCUUUUUCCCUUUUUAAAUUCUCGUCAGACUUACUGUUGCAUCCUAUCUGUCCCAACUUCUCUGCCACUUACAAUGUUUCUUGGUUGGCCCGUUGUUUGACAAGGUCGUAUGACUGAAGUUACACAAUUUUCAGAAAGAUCACAUAUCCACAAAAUUCAAUCAUUGGAAGCAGCUAACAGUGACAAUGUUUAUUGCUACUGUGUGAUAAAUGUUUUAUCUUAUAUUAUUGGAAAUCCGUUUUGUUAUUGGUUGCAAGACCAUAAAUAUCUUGCCGGCAUAUAAAAUAUUAUUUUCCUGACCAUCUAUGUAUGAUUGUGGAACGCGCCUAUUAAUCCAAUCAUUUUGGUGUUCAUUUCUACCUAGCUGUUGCACCUUACAUUGAUAUGCAUUCCUUGCUCUACUUGCACACUCUUCAAUCAAGUGAACUGUUUCAUGCUUAGGUAAUAACAAAACGAUUUGUUCUGUUAUUGCAGAUUUGAGAGGCUUCGAGAAGCUGCUUUUACAUAUACUUUUCUGAUGAGGGCCCUGAGUAUGCUUCCCAGUGUUGGCUCUGAGCAGAGCUGAGGAACCAAAUGCCCAUUAGGAGAUGCUUCACGCGGUACGAAUGCCUGUUGCGCAAGAUCAGCAACACGGCUUACAGUUGAGCCAUUUCUGGUGAUACAAAUAUUACUCCUGAUUUAUUUCUUGGACUCUUCCCCGCCAAAAAAAAAAAAAUUAGGUAGUGCUUGGAAUUUUGAACUCUUGAUAGUGACCAUUUGGAAUUGUUUUUCAUUACAAUUUACUCAAUAAUUUUCUUGUCUUUUAGAAAGGUACUCAUUAAUUUUCAUUGCUGAGGACUACUUGCAACGCCCGAUAAGGCAUUGUCACGAUGCGCUAAUGAGAGAUGCGAAGUCUUAUAAUAAUGUUAUUGUUAAAUUAUUUAUGAAUUAAGACACAAUAUAAUUUGAGAAAGAGAGAACAAAUAAUAGGCGCAAUUCAGUAAUCUAGAGAUAACUUUUGUUCAAUUUCAAAUGUAUACAAAUAAAGAGCAAAGACUUUUUUUUUAUAAUAAUACAACUAUAAAAUGGCGAGUAAAUAUAUCAUAAAUAUAAGAGAUAACAGACCUUAAAUUAAAAAAAAUAAUGGGAGUUAAACGUUAUUUAUGAGAAGAUAAAAAAAUUAUUUUAAUAAAAAUCCAUAUAAAUUAUAAUCAUUUGAAAACACUUAUUAUAUGUAUACACUAGAUUUGGAACAGCCGCUCCCUUACCUUAAUCAAGUUGCGUGUGCAUUUGAUCAUUCUGGUAGCUUGCUCAUCUUUCAUUCUCACCAUGUUUUAUUUAAACCAAAAACUGAACAAACACAAUAAAUAAGUAGUUGCCACUGAGAUCCAAUCACACUGGUAUUUCAACACAUUAGAAUAACACAAGUUGUCAAGCUGUAUCAAUUGUAUCACACUGGUAUUUCAACACAUUAGAAUAACUCAAGUUGUCAAGCUGUAUCAAUUGUUUAUGCAAUGGUUGAGAAUAUCUUUGGGCAUUCUAGAGGUCUCUCUCAGCUGGGCAAGUACGAUGCAAAUGUUGACCUUUUCAGUUCUCCUUCCAUGAUGAAUCCACUGAAGGAAGUAUGAAAUCUUCAGGUUUUAGAGACAAUUGAAAAUCUGGCAGUGCUGGGGCUGUCUGCAGAAUCCUGGAACCAACAAUAUUACUCAAUAGAUAUCUCAAGCUGCUAUAUUUUAAACCUCGAAUUAAGAGAGUCAAAACAUCUAGCUUUUAUAGGAAAUUCAAUAAUGGAAUUAAAUGAAAACUUCAAAAUCUGUCACCUACAUUUCAUAAUUUUGCGGGCCUGGGUUUACUGGCAGCCUGCUUGAAAUAUCUUUCGGAAUUUUCUCGGAGAGGUACUUGCUAGUCCCCCAGAGAGGUGGAUUUCUGGAUAAACAGAAAGUUAAAGAAGUACCCAAAAUGGAAGACCUGAAAAAUACACCUCUGAAAACAGAGAGAGGUUUCAAUUAGACUACCGCGAUAAAGGAGGUGUCAUGUGGAAAGAUUCACAGGUCAUCUUGCUUUCUUUAAGGAACUCAUCUGCUGCUCGCAGAGCUGCCGCAGCCAUCUCACUACAUCCUUCUGUUUUCCCCUCGUCAAGGAUUAAUCCAUGAAGGUAGUAUGCAGCUGCCUGAAAUGUAAAACUGCAUCAUAUUUCACACGUUAUGAUAUCUACUUAAUGUGCAAUUCACAAUUGGUUACAUUGGAGUUUUUGCUCACUUUCUAUCCUUCGUAUGCUCUACAUCAAAAUAGUUUCAUAUGCAUAUAAGCAGCGAGAUGAACAAUAUCUCAUAAAUGAAGGCACGUCAUUUUUCCUUAAGUAGCAAAGAAAAAUGAAAAAACAAAGGUCACCUUUGCUUCAGCAUACUUCCAUCGAACAAAAAGCCUAUGUUUGUCUCCCCAUCCAUUUGCUAGUGGAAGGUUUACUAUGUUUUCUUGAGCCUGCAGAGUGUAAAACAGAUUAUAAUUGACUUAUUAUCAUUCAAUAUCUCAAAUCACACAAAUGCCACUGUAGCCAUGUAAAUGUGGAGCACUAUCUUAUAUGAUAAUGUAACACUUCUACUUUGCCAAACAAUAAGCAUGAAUAAAACUUUGAUCUGACAGAGUACCUCAUGCCAGUAUUUCACCAGCUCGCAUGCGAACCUUCGUUUCACUGCCACUGUGGCGUUGACACUAUCAAUUGCCAUUCCAAGUUGAACAUCAACACCCUGUAUGCAAGUAGUUAGAUCACUCAAGGAACUUACAAAGAAAUAGCAUUUUAUCUGUGAUUACAGGGAACUUACCUCCAACAUUAAGCUGCUACAAAGAAUUUUUUUUUUUUUAACUGUUUUGAGACAUGUAAUUUUAAUUGUCAUUGACAUUUUUUUUUUCCCUAUAUUGUUCUGUGGUUUCCUAGUUGUAUAAUUUCUCAAGCAGAAAUAUUCUGAAAAGAAGAAAUGCAAAGAUGAAAGCCAAAAGAAAUAAUAAUAUUCAACAAACAAUGGAACUGACUAAAAAUGUGAUCAAGGCUUUUUCAUGAUUUCAAACAUUGAGCUAUUACCUGUCCCAGUGAUUGCAUGCAAAAGGCUCGAAGCACCCCCUCUGUCAGGUCCAUUGGUAAAUUUUUCCUACAGUAAGUAAUAAAUAGUCCAAUGGAGUUGAAGUCUCUUCCAGGAGGCAGUUGCUGUAAAAAUCAUAUUAUCUAAAACUUUAGAAGCAGGCAAGGAUAUCUUUCACAAACCUGAUUUCAGGUGGAAGCUGAGGGAGAACAUUAUUGACAGCAAAAUCUAGAUAUCCAGCUGCCUUCAAGAACAUAUCAAUAGAUUCCCGCCUGCAUUCUGGUAUAGAAUCAGAAAUUGUAGCUUUUAGUAGUUGACUGAGAAUCUUGCAGCUAAUAAAAUUCUGCGCUGCUGCAGCCAAUGAGAAUAUAGACUAGUAGACUGGUUUAUAGAAUUUUUAUUGGAAUUACAAACCCAAACAACUUCUUACUUCUUAUAUUUAUUAUGCAUAUCGGUUAGCAAUUAACCUGACCUACUGAUACUUUUGACUGAUAACCAUCUGUAGAUGUUUUCGGAAGAAGCAAUAAAUUGGCCUGGGAUAAUGAUAGCAUGGUCAUCAUUUGCAAAACCGAUAGAAUCUCGUACCAAGAGUUUGCCAUCGUUGUUUCCUUCCCAAAAAAAAAAAAAAAAACAUGAUCAGAAUAUAAGAUGGAAAUACAUAGAUCUUACACGGACUGAGUAACAAAUUUGAUUCUGGCCUUGUCAUCUCACCUCUGCAUCAUCCUCUUGAUUUAACCAUGGGAAUUGCAACUUAUCUUGCAGCUGGUUUCCUGCAUAAUGUAUUGAAAAAUAUAAAGGACUAAUCUUAAACCGGAAAUGCAUGCUUGAAAAGAAUUGUAUAUGCUGAACUUGGCUUUAAAUUUUGUUUGGUUGCCACGAAAAGGCAGAAGAAGGAAAGAAGUCAAAUUGGUACCGAAAGCCAGCUAAUCAUAAAUCAACUAUGUAGGCCAAUUUAUGGUUAUUUUUCCUCCAUUAGAAAUCAAACAGAAAUAUUGUAGAACUAAACAUGUCUUCCUCUACUUUCUUAGCAACCAAACUGAAUUCCAAGAAAGUACAAUAAAUGUUUCUGGCAAACCGCUAAUCAUGUACACACCAUUUUCGACUAGCCCCAGUAAGAUAGGCAGGUAAUCCUCCAGAGCCUGUUGAAGAUCAGCCAGUGUUGAUCCUCCUGCACGACAACAAUCCAAGUGAAUGAACAAAAAACUUCAAAAAAAACCAACGGGGGUUAACUACAAACAGCUCAACCUCUCAACCAACCAUGUUGUGUGGCUUUUCUUCUUGGUUUUGUAGCCAUGGGAGCUUCUUGCCCUGCCAUGACAACAAUCCUAGUUCUAAGAGCCGAUAAACGUUCAACCAAUCUCCUAGAUAACUCAUCACCAAUUGGCUCAGCAAAGUCAACAGGUUUUGGAAUCCUUAAUCCUGGAACAAACACAGCAAUCUCCCCAACAUUUUUCGGCUUUCUUCGGGUUUCACCAGGAGCAUUUGGCGUCGAUAUAAAGCACCCCAUACCAGUUCAGUUCCUGACAAGUACCAAAGCACAAAGCAUAAAUAACCAGAACAGGCUUCAUGAGUUGUUUUUCGGUUAUUGAAGCUUACCAAACAGAGUUCUUGAGAACAAAUUAAAAUUAAUUCUUUGCACUUUUUAGAGAUGCGUGAGCAAUUAGAAAUUGAAAAUUGGCGGUAAACGACAUAAUCAUUUACAGCAAGCAAUGAGACAAUGUCAACUGGAGAGCAAACACUAAUGAAAUUAAACUAUCACAAGCACAGAUAAAAUAUCUCCAUAUAUACAAUAUAAGUCAAUGAUGCAUAUAAACAUAAAUAUAAUUAAUCAAGUGCCAAUAAGAUGUAGGAAGCAUGCAAACAGGCACAUUAACACAUUCGAAAAUUAUUAACCAAAAAAUUAGAACAGCUUUCUUACAACCUUUUUUACUUGCAAAUUAGCACUUUCUUUCCUUCACGUUUUCCACCUUGUGAAUGCAUUUAAGAGCCUCUGCAUCGCCGCAGAAAUGCUUAAAGCUAAGAAAACCCAUGAUUUGGAAAACAUAAAAGGUGAAAAAUAAAGAACACGCUCACUAAAAAGAAGCCGUUACAGUUUUAUGCGUUAAAGUAUGAUUACUUUUUUGCUUUGCUUUGGGGCAAAACUUUGCUACUGUAAUGGCCGUUAAUAUGGCCUAUUUUGUGCAUACAUUGAACCAAAUUUAAAGGGACAAACAAACAUUUAUCAACGUUACUAAAAAGUAGACCCCAUGAAAAAGAGCAACUUACACACACACACAAACAUUUGGUACGUCACAAACUCAACAACUUGUAAAUUUGAAUGAUUAAAUCGUGGGCAAACAGUGUUUGGUUAUCAUUGCAAGACAGCAAUGCAAAGUAAGAGAAAACAAGAAAUAUAAAAGUUGCGCCUGUGGUACUCCAAGGGUAUUUUUCAUAGCGAAGAAACUCUCGAAUGAUUAGAUAUUAUUGAUUUUUUUGCUUUUUCGGACCCAACAAUCAAACCUCUAAUGUUUAUACCAAUCAGAUGUUGAAACUAUAAGAUUUAUAGAACUACAUCAUCUGAAAACAAAUAUAUAAAGAAAAAUUGUUAAUGUAAUUGAAAAACAAAAAAAAAGAUAAAGAAUUGGAUCAAGUAUUCUGAAAAACACAAGCCUCAGACUGUUACACAUCAUCCUUAACACAACUUGAAUCAAUAUUGUACUCUUGCAAAUUAAAAUACCAAACCAUUUUUUUUUUAGCAUAAAAUAAAUGUGAUUAGUUUAUCUGAACAAAAGCUCUUGUCAUGAUGAAUCCCGCGGUGUAUUGGUGAUGAGUAUACAACGCAGUCGGAGUAGUAAAAUCUUGCAAAAAAUGUUUCGAAACUCGAAUUUUCUUGUUUCUUCCUUUGAUUUAGAUAAGUCCGAAGUGUGGUGAAUGUAAAAGGGUUUGCCCCGAAUAAUCGACCAUUUUGCCAACCAAAGUCUUAUAAAAUCUUUCAUCUUCGUCUUUGAAGUAAGUAAACAUUCUCUUUUGUAAUAUUUUGAACCAAUUGAUUUGUCUAUUGAAUUUAAAAAUAUUAAAAAAAAAAGAACUUUAUAUACACACACAUACAUACAUAAACAUACACACACACUCCCCCAUACACAUAUACAUAUACAUACAUACAUACAUAUAUGUGUAUUCCAAUUUAGAAUCAUAAAUUUAUUCAAGUCUUGAAAAGUUAUUAAACCAAUGAUCGAGAAAACUAUUAAACUAUAUAAUUUAAUAGUGUAAUGAUAUUAAAUUAUAUAAUUUAAUAAUUUUUUAAAAUUUUAAUAAAAUCCAAAAUUCUUAUGUGUUUCAAUUAUAAAUGUCAAACUACUAGCAAGAUAUUUGCCAAGUUGUGAUGUGACACCAUUUAUAAGAAAUUUCCGACACUGUGACAUUUUCAAGCCUGCAUUUAUUAAUUGAAAUUUGCAACCAGAUACUUAUUAAUUCUUUAUUUGGACUUAAAAAUAAAGAUUUGGUUACCUUACAUGAAAUGUAAGGUAUAAUCUCUCACAAAUUGAGUCGUGGGUCUCACUUGGAUCCACAACCGAUAAAGAGAAUUGUACAUUAUAUAAAAUGUAAGGUAGCAAUUACCUAAAAAUGAAUAUAACCAAAAAAAUAUUGAGUUAGCAUUAACUAUAGAUUUACGCCUAUUUUUAAUCCCUUCAUAUCGGAAAAUAAGCAUAAAUUAAUCUAAUCCACAAGAAAAGAUCAUCAUUUUACAAAUCUUGAACCCAGUUUCCUUGAACAAAUUAAUGGUGAAAGGAUUAAUAUUGAUAGAUUAUGUGACUUCAACUGAUUUUUAUUAUGCUUCAAUUUUAAUUUUUUAUUUUAAACUAUUUUUCUUUCCUUUUGAUUCCUUUGUUGCUGUGAAGUUCUUAAAAUGGAUGCCGGCCGGGCCGAUAUAUAUUCUAAUCAGUUACAAUAUUACAUGUCUCUUUCUAUCUUCAAAACGGACGGUGUUUGCAUUAAUUAAUAAAAACUAUAUGAUAAAGCGAAAUCUUAACUUUUACAGUUGAAAGCUGAAUAAUAAUAAUAAUAAUGAAAUGGGUAGUUUGACCCACUUAAUUUAUAUCAGUUUGGGUAAUAAUUUUUUUUUAAAAAAAAAGUAUUGAUGACCCAAUUAAUUGAAUUAUAAUAAUUACAUUCGAGGAGACAACGUAACUAGUGUAUUAUUUUAUGGGUGAAUCUCUUAAAAUAAUACACUAUGUUAUAUUUACUCACAAUAAAUUAUUCAUAAUAGUAAAUGACAAAAUCUUGAAAGCUUUUUUGUAAUAAAUGAAAAUAUACAUAUACAUUUAUAUUUAUUUUUAUUUCCUAGUAUGUUAAUUUCAUACCAAUGUAUAUUUUCAUUUAUUAUUGACAUAACUUUCAUUUAUAAUAUAUUCAAUAAAACUUUCAUUUUUAAUAAUAAAAUUUUUUAUUUACUAUUUUAAAUAAUAAAAAAUAAUAAAUUAACUGCAACACGUUCACCCAAAAAAAAUCUUUUUGUAUCGAAUUAUUUACUAAAAGAAAAAAAAAAAGCUUAAUACACCAGUGCAACUGCUCCAAGUUCGUUUGUUUUAACAAAUAUUAAACAAAUCUUUUAAAUUGGUCAAGACUCUCCAACCCCAAAUUUGUUUAUUUCAACUGCAUCAAACAAUCUUUUAAAUUGUUCAGGACUCUCCAGCUUAUGCACUUCUUUAUAUUAUUAGUUAUUGUUUCAUUAAACUUGCUUCAUUAAUUGGCUCAUGUUUCGAUUUUGGCCAGUAUGGGCUGGUACCAAGAUUGAGAUGAUUGAUGUUAAUUUAUCGAUUAGUAUAUCAUAAAUUAACCUAAUUAACCUAGGAGUAUUUUAGGAAAUAGAAUUCAAAAGGAGUGUUAUAAGGAUUUCUGAGGGGUGUUAAAAGCUCCACUAAGGGGGAAAAAAUCAUAUUAUAGUUUCAGCUUUUGAUUAAAGAGAUUCGGAGCUUCAAGCUUUGUUUGGUAUAAGGUUGGGUAGAUGUACUUUAAAAGUUAUAGUAAUAAAGUAUUUAGUAAACACUAAUUAUUGUUAUUUAGAAACUAAGUUUAAUUGAUCCCAAGUGAAGGACUUAAAAAAUCUUUUUUAUUUUUGUCAAAAUUAUUAUUUAGUAGUCAUAUUUACUAUACAAUAUCAACUGUUAUUUAAUAAUUACAAUUUUUUUUAAUAACAGUUGUUGCUUAAAAAUUAUGAUACCUCAAUAUGAAAUAAAGUCUCAGUUAAGGUUGUGAUAGAAAAUGGGUUUUUAUAGAGGAAAAAAGAACACAACAAAAUAAAAUGGAGAGUGUGGUGAGGGUAAUGAUUAAGAGAGAAGAUGAGUUAGGUUAGAGAGAGGUACUCGUUAGUAGACAGGAUGGAGUUUCAGUAACUUUCAAUUGAAAAUGCUAAGAAAUAUUUUCUCCCUUUUUUAAUUUCCUUCUUUAAAAUUUAAAAUGGAUUUGAAACUAUGGUGGCUAUGGUAUUUGCGGUUUUGUUAGGAUAUGUAUUGGUGGGCAUUGGACUGCUAGCUGCCGGGGUGACAUUUAUUAGAAGAGAAAAGAAAGGAGAUAGAAGUUAGAUGUUAAAGUUUCUUUCUUCUUCUUCUUUUUUCUUUUUCUCCGUAUCCUCCCCAAAUAAGAAAAAUUCCCGAAGAGCCUCAUCCCUAUAAAGAUUUCUGUCAUCCCUAAAUAAAACAUUAUAAUACACAAAGUGGAGUUAGAACUUUGAUAUUGAAAUCCAUGAUGAUCCACACUUUAAUGCGGCAGUAUGACAAAACAGUCCACUAACAUUGUAACUUGGGAAUACACCCAUAAUUUCACAACAAUUUACACACUUUUGGUGUUUAGAGCCUACAUAUAUUUGUGACUCUUACUAAUUGUUAUUUUGUUAACAUCAAUGAACAAAUUCUCAUUUCUGGAAAAAAAAAAUGUGAAAAAUUUGAGGAGAUAUUGGAAGAAACCAAUUCUACAGGGGAAGAUGAUAGAAGACGACUCGAAUUCAGAUUGAUAAGUUUAAGUUGAUAUUCAAUAGCAGAUGUGAUCAAAUUUAGAAAGCCUGCUAAUCUUUCCACGGUUAUUCAAGUCUAAUUUUCAAUAAAAAAAGAUUAAAUUAAAUUAGAUCUUGCAUUUUUUUAAUUUUACAAAAAUAAACAUGAAUAUAAAAAAAUAGUAAUUAUAUUAUUACUAUGUUACAUUAACAAACUAACAUGACAAAUUAAUCUAAAAUAAUUGCUUAGAAAUAAAAGAUGCAUCCAAUCCAAGUCCGGUUUGUCAUCAUAAUUAUAAGUUCAUCAUACGAAGUUUACUCUUCAGAAGAUCGACAUGAGUGAUAUUUGUUACGUACAUUUUUUAAUCUAAUCAAAUCCAUAAAAUUUUACCAAUUUAGAGUCAGUACAAACUGUGCUUGAAUUAUAUCUAUGAUGAAUGUGAUAAUUAAUCAAUAAGAAACUUACCUUUCAAAAUACAGCAUAUAUAUUUUUUACUUUAAAAAAAGAAAGAAAAAGCUCACAGAUUACUGAACUCAUCUUGCAUUUGGCGUGUACAUGGAGCGAUAAUGAGCAGAUUAGGAGGAAAAUCAACUUUUAUACUUCAUGAAUUUAGAAUGAUUAAUUAGCGUUUAGAGUGUAAUUUAGGGUGCAAAAAAGUUGUUAGACUUAAUGUUAUUAUUACGCUCUUAAAGCAUUAGUUGUAAUAACAUUUCUUAGUUUUAAUAAAAUAUAUUUAUUCAUAAUUCAUAUUGAGCAUAUAUUAUUAGCCCUUGUUUAUAAAGUAUGUGAUUUAUGUAUUGGCUUAUGAUAUCAAUAUUUGAAUCUAUAAAUCACAAGUUGUUUAUAAAUAAAAGAUUGUUCACAGCUAUUAAUGAAAUGAGCAUUUUAUUAUAUAAGGCUGUAACUUUUUUACUUCUAUCGUGAGUGAUUUCAUCUUGAUCACUGAAGUGGGGACUUCGAGUAGAAUAGUUAAUAUGUCUAUUGAACUGGACUAUAGUGAAUUAUGGUCUAAUUUAACAAAUGUUGUUGAUCAUAAUUCACAAAACAUUAAUAAGCUUAAUUGACCUUAAUUCUAAGUAGGUAAUGAACUUACAUAAUGUAUUAUAUCUUUUGAGUUAUCAUAGAGUAAGAUCUAUAUAAACGAUCAAAACUUUGAUAGCUUGGAGAUAUAAUUUCAUAGAUCGUGAGAACAUAUAUUUAAAAGAUGGAAUUUAUACUAAUGAUCCCUACCUAAGUUAUUUGUGGUACUUGAUUAUUUAAAUAUGUGGCCACAAUUUAUUCAAUAAAUUAUUUAUUGAAUAAUAAUAUUUAUUUGUAAAUUUAAUUACAAAUAUAGAUAUACUAAAAGUGAUCAUUAGAACAAAUAAUUACUUAGGGAUAAAUAUAUAAUUAGAGAGGCACAACAUUUUUCAUUGGCUUAACUUUAAUUGAGCCUCAAAUGGAGGGUUAAUUAAGUGGUUAUUGUUGGUCUAAGGCCAAAGCUAAAAUUAAUUAAAAGGAGUUUUAAUUAGUUGGACUUUUAUUUAAUUAUAUGGUUUACUAUAGCACAAUUUUGGGCUUUUAAUGGAAUAAGGUGGGGUUAACUUAAUAGUUUUCGUGUGUUAAGUGAUCACUGGACCUUGAAUAUUAAGUUGAAGUUAAAAAGCCCAUUGGUCUGCAGUCCUCUACUAGCUCAAUUCCUAGUCAAACUCUGAUUCUAAUAAGUGUUUGUAUAAAAGAGAGGAAAUUAGAACAUAAAUAUACUUUGGAAAAUGAUGUUUGCCCCGGGUCAAACCCCGAAAAUAACUAAAACGAUGUCGUUUUGAAUUUUUUUUUUUUUCAUACUCCAAAACGUUGCCGUUUUUUAUGGACUAUUUUGAGAAGAAUUAAAUCUCUUCCUCUUCGUUUCUUCGUUUCCCCUGGGAAAGCGACAAAUAGAAGAGCUAAAUCUCUUCCUCUUCGUUUCUUGGUUGACCGUAAAUCUCUUCAAUGCUUCGUUUCUUCGUUUCUUCAAAAAAUUUGUUACUUUCCUUCCUCAACCGAGGUCCAGGCAUUCGGGAUCCACCACGACCGACUCACAGCCACGGUCACCGUCAACACUGGUAACGCUAGUAGCGGCAAAGUUCACAGUCUGAAACACUAGUAGCGGCAAAGUUCAACGCUGGUAACGCUUGUUUGGGAAAUUAAACUCACGAAACGACAAAGUUUUUUAGCCUGAGGUAAUGCUUCAUUUUUUCCUCUUUAGGUUAUGGCAAAAUGGGGAUGAUUUGGUUUAUCUAGGUUAGGACAGUUAUGAUGAAAAUUUAAUAUCAUUCCCAUUUAAUUAAUUUUCGGCUGAAUUUAAAUAGCUAUUGUGAUUCCCGUUUUAUUUAAGUGUGUUAAAUUGCAGUUGAUUUUCGACUGAAUUUGGGUACAAUUUUGAAUUUGGUAAUGUUGAGGUUGAGGAUGAAUGAUGAUGAAAAAGAGAUUUUGCUCUGGAAGAUUUCGAAGAGAUUUCUAAUUUGAGUCAAUUACAGAUGCUCUGUCUGUUAUUUCUGGGCUUAUGCAGCCGAAACUUGUCUGUUAUUUCUGAGCAUGAACUAUUUCUGAUUUGAGUCAAUUGCAACUGCUCUCUGUCUGUAUUUCAUGUUCUUUUUUGAAUUAAUAUAACCGAGUGAUGAGGAUUAAUAUUAUUGAUGGAGGCUUUUAUUUUAUCUUCAGUUGUCUGUUUAUAGAUUGUGUGCAUUUUGGUAUAUAGAUUGCGUGCAUUGGCUUGGGUUCUUUGAUAGCCUUUCUGGCAUGUUGCUUGUAGUUUUCAUAUUAACUUGCUGGGUGGUUGCUUGUAGAAUUUAUUGGUAACUUUGUUGAACUUGGUUGCUGGCUGGUUGCUGGUUGCUUGUAGCCUUUCUAGCAUAUUGGUUGUAGUUUUCACAUUAGCUGCUGGGUGGUUGCUGGAUAGUUGCUUGCAUAAUUUAGUGGUAAUUUCUUUUCAUGUUCCAGUUUCCAGGCUGUUCAUAUGUUCCAGUUUCCAGUUUUCAUGUUCCAGUUGUCAUGCUGUUCAUAUGUUCAAGUUUUCUUUUAUUUUAAGUAUAACUAACUGUAAUUGCAAUUAAAAUUUGAAUUGGGUAAUUUCUUUGGCAUUAUUAACUGUAAUUGUUUCCCUUUUUGGCAGUUUCUUCCCAAGGGACUAUUAACCACAAACAAUGUCAUUCAAGUUAAGUGAGAAUCGAAGCUCAUUGCAAAUGUGUAAUGGAUGCGGUAAUCAUAUGGAGUUGUUAACGUCACGCACAACAAAAAAUCUAAAUCGCAAAUUUUGGAUUUGUAGAGGAUGUAAGAACUUUCAAUGGGCAGAAGAUCGUAAACCUAGCAAAGAGAAAAUAGAUGUGUUAGCGGAUGAAGUUAGGAAGUUGGCCUUAGAGAUCGAGUGUUUGUCCGUUAAAUUUCAAUUAGUGCAUAAAGAACUUGAGCAUAUGCGAGAACGUGAAGUGCAGAGGCGAUUGUUGGACGACGAACUUCGAAAGAGAGAGGCACCACGAUAUGAUUUUAUUAAAAUACUGAUGAUUGUUGUAUUAUGUUUUCUCUUAAAGUAUUAUUUUUAAGUUGUUUCAAGUUAAAGACUUGUAGACAAAUGUAAUAGCAUUUUCAUGUUAAAUAUAAGUUUCCGAGUUGUUUGACUCUCUGGAUUUAAUUCACAGUAUUAUGAAAUUAUAAUUUGGCACCUAAAAUUAUUCUAAAAAUUAUACUAUGACCCAAAUCAUUCUAAUAUUUUCCAAAUGAAUCCAUUUCUAACAUUUUAAAAAUAGACUUAUUAAUUCACAGUCUUAUGAAAUUAAUCAUUUGGCCCCAACAAUUAUUCUAGAAAUUAUACUAUGACCCAAAUCAUUCUAAUAUUUUCCAAAUGAAUCUAUUUCUAACAUUUUGAAAAUAGACUUAUUAAUUCACAGUAUUAUGAAAUUAUAAUUUGGCCCCAACAAUUAUUUUAAAAAUUAUACUAUGGCCUAAAUCAUUCUAAUAUUUUCCAAAUGAAUCCAUUUAACAUUUUGAAAAUAGACUUAUUAAUUCAUAGUAUUAUGAAAUUAUAAUUUGGCCCCAAUAAUUAUUUUAAAAAUUAUACUAUGGCCCAAAUCAUUCUAAUAUUUUCUAAAUGAAUCCAUUUCUAGCAUUUUUAAAAUAGACUUAUGAACUCCAGAAUUUCAAAAAUGUCGAAAUAGACAUACACCAAAUUACAUUAGUUCAUUAGUUGAAUAAUACAUAAAACAUAAGCAUAAGCUAACUUCGAUCACAUGCUUGGUUCAUUAGUUGAAAACUCCCCUUGAUUGGCCUCCUCGAAAUUUUGUUGCGGUGCAUGUUGCAAGUGUACAUAAUGAGCUGGACCAUAAUUCAUCCAAUACUGAUAGUAAGGGGGAAAAAUGCAUGUUGUAGGGGUGCUUGUUGUGGUUGCUGUUGUACCAAAAAAAAAAAAAGUUAAACACAAAUUAUCAAACAUAUGACAAUGAAUGGAAAUAAUAAAUAAAAAAAUAUUACCAUAGCCAUAUUGCUCUCUUGUGUUGGGAUUGUAGUAGCCACCUGAGAAGAUAAAUCAUGUAUCUCCGCAUCCUAGAAGUGCAGUCAACACACAUUUAAAGUAUAUAUUAAAUUAAUUUAAAAUGAAUGUAUUAAAGUAUUAAAUUAAUCUAAAGUAUAUAUAAUUACCUCUAUAGUUGUGUUUAUCGAAACGUUGUUCGAUUUCUAUUUUGACCUCUUAAAUUGCUUUUGCUUUCUUUGACAAGAUGGACGACCUUUACGCCGAGUUACCACUGGAUCUUGUAUGUUACUACUGGAUCCACCAUCAAUGGUUGUAUCGUCACCGUCACAUCGAACAUUUAGAGAUACAUCCUUCAUAACUUUCUCAAUCCAACCCAUAAUGUUUUUAUGGCUUUCUUCAUUUUUGGAAGCUACCUCAGCAACAUCAUAAAAAGCAAUGCAUUCCUCUUUAUAUCGCUGAUGUUUAAUGCUCGAACUCCGUGCAGCAUAACUGACUUUGACUUUACUAGAGAAUCUCCGCACAUCUUUCCUCAAUCUUCGUAGGAUAUACUUUUUAGGCAGUAAUUGCACACGGUUACGUGACAACACUGCGAUAGCGUGUUUGCAAAGAAUGCCCUUAUAUUCAAACAUUGAGCACACACAACAAAUUUCACCUUCAUCUUUUUCAAAAAUGACUCUAAAAGUCUUUUCUCUACUCUUUUCAUCGUUUUCAAUAGCUUCAUAUUCUAACCCUCCACAACUGAAAUCCUCACAACAUAUCUUAUUCACCAGCUCCUGCUGAAAUUUCUGAAACUUGAAAAUAGUGUACACUUCUUCAACUUGCUUUUCCAUUGUAAAACUGGUACGACAUGGCAACCGUUGGCUAAAACUCCGUGCAUCUACUUGCCAUUCUUUCUCAAUUUUACUUUCCAUUGCUUUCUCAUAUUUCUCCACAAAUUGCUUCAAAGUUGUUUUUGAGUUAACAUACCCAUCAAAGAAAGCAUUCAUACUCUCACUACGUUGAGUGAUUGACAUUCCAGCCCAAAAAGUAGUUUUCACGAAUGCUGGAACCCAACGAUUUCUUUCCUCAUAUAAACCAUUCAACCACUGAUUAUUUCUAAGAUCAUAUUUAUCUAACAUGUCAUGCCAAGAUUCCUCGAAUUCAACAGGAGUAUGUGAAUUAUAAACAACAGAAAGUAAUGAAACUUUAAUGACAUGAUAUUCUGCAUACCUUCCCAACUUCUCAGGCAUUUUUUUCAGUAUAUGCCACAAACACCAUCGAUGCUUAGUGUUUGGAAACACAAUCUGAACUGUGUUUUUCAUCGCUUUAUCUUGAUCUGUAAUGAUUCCAAGGGGAGGACAACCAGACAUACAUGAUAGUCAUGUGUCAAAUAACCACUUAAAUGUCUCUGUGUCCUCAUGCGAAAUCAACUCACAUCCUAACAAAAUUGAUUGAUCAUGAUGAUUAACUCCUAUAAAAGGAGCAAAUGACAUGUCAUACUUGUUUAUAAGGUAUGUGGUAUCAAAUGUGACAACAUCUCCAAAGUCUUUAUAGGCUACCCUGCUCCUUGGAUCUGCCUAAAAUACAUUUUGUAACCGACCCUCCUCAUCUAGGUCAAUACUGAAGAAAAACUCAUCGUUUUCUGUUUGCAUUUUCUUACAAUACCUCUGAAUUGCAACAGCAUCCUCUUCCCCGAGUCUUAAUCUCCUCACUUUGUCAACACGAUUUCUAGCAUCUCUUUCUAAGAAUGAUACAUUUUCAAAGCCACCAGCCUUGACAACAAUCGACUUAAAACUUUGAGCCAUUUUAAUUCCAACUUCUUCAUUUAUCUCAAGCUACUUUUUAACAAAAUGACUAAUGGUACGGUUGCAUCGAUAAUACAUACUCUUGCUCGGACUCAAGGCAUGGUUGUGUUCAAGGAUCAAAUUUCCAAUUACCCAUUUUCCACUAACAAAAUCCAAACGUCCUCCAAUUUUAGCAUUGCAUCCAAUUUUUUAGUUUGGUUGAAGCCGCAAAACAUUAGUGGGUUUGGCUUUUGACUUGCCGUUUCUCCCACAAGCAAAUGUCACAUAUCUCAAACUCUCAUCAUCCCCUUUUCUACGAGAUCUACGAAUCACUGGAAACCCCUCUUGUAGGCCAAAAGCUUUAUAAUAUUCAAACAUUUCAUCAGGACUAUCAAAAGACAUCCCAACCGUAGGUUCAACAACUUUUUCCACCACCAAUUCCUCAUUAUUUUCUUCCAUUUCAGCCCCCUGUAAAUCCUGCAAUUCUCCAACUUCAUCAACCUCCUCCACUUGUUCGAAAUUAUCCAUUAACUGCUGCAAAUUUCAAUAAUUCAAUAUCUUAUAAGUUAUUUAUCGCAAAUUCAUUAAAUUUUGGAAAAAAAAUUAAAAAACAAAAUGAAACAAUUCAACAUUCAAAUUGAAACAAGUUGAUUAAGGCUGGAUACGCGCAGUUACAUAUAUUAAAAUGUGAAACUCUCGAGUUCAAAGAAUAAAAAACGAUUCAAACCAAAUUAACCACGUGGAUUAGACAAACUUCUUUUAGACAAAUUUAAGCUUAAAUUGGUAACAUCUUGAAAAAGCAAACUAAACUUCUGCUCAAAUUUCCACUUAAAUCACAAUUUCAUCAUUCUAAAAACUCAAAUAAAAAGCCCAGAAACUAGAAUCAAACUUUACAAAAAGAAAAAUGCACAAAAACUCAAACAAAGCGCGUGUAGUUAAGCUUUACUUCAAAAAAACAAACUGGUAAUUAACCCGAUUAAUACACAUUAUAAAAAUCAUGUAAGCAAAGUUUAGGGAGACACUCAGGGGAGUGAUUAAUUAACAAAAAUAAGAAUAAUAAUACCAAUAUUUGUACAGCUCAAAUAAGAAUAAGAAUACUCAACUUAACCCAUUAUAUACAAACAAAUGGCCAUCUCAUUUCUAUUUUUAACCACUUUUUGGCAGGUUCAAUGUGGUGUCAAAUGCCAUAGCAUGCUCAUACGCAGCAAUCUCUCUAGUUCUUUUGUGGUUAAAAAAUAAAUUCAAUGUUACAAUGUUGUAAAAACGCAGGGAAAAAUUAAAAAAUAAUUCAAAAAACAAAAUACUGCAAAGAAGACAGUACCGAAAAAAAUAAUUUCAAGCUUCGAAAAUUCAAACUUUCAGGGACAAUGUUCUUGGUCUGCCGAAACUUCGCAGCUGCUGUUGGUCUUGUUCCGUCCAAACUCAGCUUAGUAGCCGAAACUCACCUUUCAAGGACAAAUAUCGCAGUUGCUGUUAAUCACUUUCUUCACUAAAUGGGUGCGUUCUGCUGUGGAUGAAGCGUUCUGCUGUGGAUCCCGAAAGGCUACACCGUGGUCGAGGAAGGAAAGUAACGAUUUUUUCGGCUUUCAAAAAAAAGAAACGAAUCGCAUUCCCAGCUGCUGGAUUCUUUCAGGGACAAUGUUCGCGUUUUGGAUUCUUUCAGGGACAAUGCUCGCGUUUUGGAAAUGGUAAGUCAAAACGGCAACGUUUUGGAGUAUAAAAAAAAAAAAAAAAUUUAAAACGGCGCUGUUUUAGUUAUUUUCGGGGUUUGACCCGAGACAAAUAUCAAAACUCAUAUACUUUAUAUAUAAACUUUCUUGAAUAAGAAAAAUUCAGUUUUUUUUUCCAUCUCAUGGACGAUAAUUGUCAUGUGAGGGAGACUAUUGAGGAUAGCAUAGAAGAUUGUAAAUUUGAGGUAUUUUUCUAACCCUAUGCAUAUAUACAUAAAUGAAGAAAAGUUCCUGGGAUUUAUACAUAAAUGAAGAAAAGUUCCUGGGAAGGUAUUUUUCUAACCCUAUGCAUAUAUACAUAAAUGAAGAAAAGUUCCUGGGAUUUUUUUUUUUUUGAUUUGUUUUAACCAACAUAAGCCCCUACCAAUUAUUCAUCACUUAACUUUUUAUUUUUUAAAAACAUAUUUAUAGUUUAUCCACUUUAAACAUUUUAUUUAAUAAGAAAUACUUAACCAAUUGAUGAUUCAUUGAAAUGUGAGAUACAAUUCAGGCUAUAUUUGGUAUUGCGAUACUCUUAACUUCUAACCCAUAAUUAUAAAAAUGCAAAUGACAAUUCCAAAUCAUUCCAAAAUAAUUAGAAGAAGAAGACGAAGAAGAAACAAACCAACCAAAUAAGAAUUUUAAUAUAGAAUCUGUUAGCUCACAUUAUUGAACUUAUAAUGGGAAAUUUACACCAAUAACCAUAAAAAUUUUAGUUUUUUUCAUCUUAACCCCUCAAACAAAUUUCUAUCAACAUUAGCCAUAAAAGAACCGUUGAGACCAAAUUACCCCUCUCUCUCAUCUCCCUUUCCUCUUCCUCUUGCCUUCUUCUCUCCAGUUCUCUACUAAUUUCAGCAUCCACCUCUUUUUUCUUCUUCUCUCUCCUAUAAUCCUCGUAAUCGUUCGGUCUAGCGGGGUCGUGCUCCUUGAUUACGGUCGAAGUGACGUCGACCAAUGCCGGUUGCGGCAGCGCUACCACGUCGUCGGGGGAAGGUGCGAUUGCAGGUGAGGAAUGGGGUCUAGUCGGGAGAGAAUUUUGGGUGGUUUUGGGUUUGGAUUGGGGCUUGAGGAUGGUUUGUGGUGGCGCGAAAAUUGACCAGACAGUGGUGGUCGUGUUGGUGGGUUUGUCCUCAUCGGAGGGUGGAGGUAGGUCUCCGUACAGCCCGCCUAGCAUUUCGCAACGUGGCUUUUAAUGGAAAAUCCCGGGGAAUUUGAAUUCCGAAAUUGGAUUUUGGAGAAUUAAAAAGCUGAUUUUGUUUUGUUGUUUGGGUUGUCGGAUGAGAUUCGAUCUGAGGUAGAAGAAGAUAUUACAUACGAAUAGGAAGAGACGAACAAAAGACGAAAGGACUGACGAAAACAAACAAAUACUGAGGUAGAAGAAGACAACCUGUCGCACCAAGCAUGGUGCGACAGGUGCCUGUCGCACCAAAGCAUGGUGCGACAGGUGCCUGUCGCACUCGCACCAAAGCAUGGUGCGACAGGUGCCUGUCGCACCAAAGCAUGGUGCGACAGGUGCCUAUCGCACCAAGACUUGGGCCUGUCGCACCAAGCUUCUUUUCGUUUGUAAAGAAGGGUAAUUUGGGGAGAAAAGCGUGUGUUUGGCUAAUGUUGAUAGAAAAAAAUUGAGAGGGUUAAUUGUGAAAAUAACAAAAAUUUUAUGGUUAUUUUCAUAAAUUUCCCACUUAUAAUUGGGUACCAAAAGUAAUUUCUGACGACCUUCAAGCUGUAAAUGACAUGAACCCUUAUCCCUACACAUCAUCUGCCCCAACAGAUUACUUGAUACAGAAACCAACUCCAUCACGUCUCUUUUUGACACAUAAAGAUAAAUCCAAUCCGCCCCAGCUUUACCUUCACCUUCAUCUUCAUUCUCUUUCAAUAUAUUUUUUGAUCACCCAUUAAUAUUCAAUCAAAAUUCAACCAUGGCAUCUCAGCAAGGCAAUAUUAAUAACGAUUAUUUAGAAACCCUUGUAGCCUCAGCUCGCCCUUUCCUCCGAGGAGAACUCGAAGCCAUAGACAAGAACUUGCCAUCUCUUAUUGCUGUCUUGCGUUCUGUCGGAGCAGGGGAGUGCUGGCACAAACACGGUAGCUUUCUCGAGCAUCUCGUUGACAUUUACCGGAUCCUCAAAAUAUGGAAAGCCCCCGACUGCGUUUGCCUCUGCGGCCUUUUCCACUCUGCUUACUCAAACUCUUACGUGAAUCUUGCCAUUUUUGAUCCCAACACCGGCCGAGAUGUCGUCCGUGGCCACGUUGGCGAUGCUGCCGAGAAAUUGAUCCACUUGUUCUGCAUUGUCCCGCGUCAGCCCUUGAUCCACGAUGAUCUUUUGUUCGAGUAUUCCGAUCAAGAACUCGUUGAGCAUCUCAAGGCCUCUGAUGUUUCCUUAAGAAAUGCCAAAGAAAAGGGUUUGUUCAACGCUGAGGAAGCGUGGAGGAAGAAGAUUAAUGAGUUGUUGCCUGCUGACGGGCUUACAGUGAAGCACAUCAAGACUGGUGAAGAUGUGGGGGUUUCAAGAAGGGUGGUGGCUACUUUUGUUAUGUUGACCAUUGCUGAUUUCAGUGACCAGCUUUUUGGGUUUCAGGAUUUUUUGUUUAACAAUUCUGAUGGGAAACUUGAGUUUGCUGGGAAUAGUUUUUCAGCUUUGUGGCCUGGUGAUGGCAAGCCUGGGCUGUGGAUGAAUUCAUUGUCUAGAAUGGGUGCAAUUUAUAGCUUGAUUGCGAGAGAGGAAGAGAUUUUUAUUCAAGAGAGGAAAACAUCAGCCGCUGCUGUUGGUGUUGGUGUUGAUAAAGAGAGAGAUGAGGAUAUUGAGCUUCCGGUGCCGCCAGUUUUUGAGAAUUGCACUAGAAUUUUGGAUGCAAAGGAACAGAUUGAGGCUAGGGACUUGUAUUGGGAGGCUGUUUGUGGGAACUCUGAUGGGUCAAAGGAGAAGUUGGAGAAAGCAGAGGAGCUGUUGUUGAGGUGUAUUGAGAAGAACCCAUUUGUUGGGGAGCCACAUGUGGUGUUGGGUCAGAUUUAUUUGGCAAAAGGUGAAUUUGAGGAGGCCGAGAGAGAGGCUGGAAAAGGGCUGAUGUUAUUGUUGGAAUGGGGCAGUCCUUGGGAUAAGAGGAUGUCUUGGGAAGGCUGGGUUGCUUGGACCAGAGUUCUGUACAUGAAGGCUAAAGAAAAAUCUUGGCCUCAGACUUCUUGGGGUGUCCUCAAUUUAGGGUUUGUGAGGUAAAAUGUGUUGGUAGCAGUCAUUUGCAGCUUGAUCUAGUUACAUGUUCCAUGUUCAAUCAAUAAAAGUUUCACUACUCUAUUACUUCAUUAGUAGUGUUUGUUUAUGUAAGGCACAGAGCUUGAUUAAUAAUGUGGUUGUAUUUUUCGUAUGUAUCUGUCUUGCUAAGUUGUUUGGAAGGAAAUAAAAUAUUCCAACAGCCACAAAAAUCUAUUUGUGCUGUUUUUUCUCCUGUACUCAGCUGUGAUUAUUGCAAGCAAUAUCAAUAAAAUACUCCUACUUGUCAUUUAUGAAAUUGAAACUUGAUUUGACAAAAUAUAUAAUUAACAAAUUUUUGGCUGUUGGGGACGAACUUGAAUUGGGACAUUAGUUUUUUCGGCUAUGUCUCAAUUAACAUUUAUAUUUUGGCAGAUGCAACUCAAUUAUAUAAUUGGGUGAGAUAGUCCGAUAGUUUUCUCUCCUAGUGUGGAGUAUAUGCCCCUUUAGUAAGAAGGAUAUACAUUUAUGUUGUGCCAUAAGAAAUUUGACUUAGAGUAAUUGUAAUAAAUUUCUAAUUGUAAAUAUUGGUAACAUUCUAUUUUAAUGUAUACAUAAAAAAUAAAAUAAAAUAGUAUGUACUAGUUAUAUAUAUAUAGACACACACGUACAUAUAGCCCAAAAUUUUGAGGUGAAUAGCUGCAUACUUUGUACAAUGACUCUUCUUUUAAUCGUUGUGAUAGCUUUCUGAAAAAAUCUCCGGCAAAGUUCUCAUCAAUCGUAAUGCCGUAUAAAGUUGUAAAUGGAAUAGGAGAGAAACUUGUAAAUCCAUUGUAUAAAGAGACUUGUAAAGAUAACAAACUUAUGUAGCAGUUUCAUUGCAAUGAUAUAGAAAUAUAUGAAAGAAAAUGACUUAAAUGUACAUAACUUGUCUGGAAAAGUCCCUGUUGCUAACCAAUAGAUUCAGUACUAAACUGCAAGUAAUCAUCAAUUUAUUCUAGGCAUAUGCAUCAACGUGAGUAAAUCUCACAAGUCUCAAGUACUCGUAAGGGUCACUGGGUGAUUGUUAACUUUACUAUUUUAACAUUUCGACCCCCAACUCUAAGAUUUUGAAUGCUAGAGCUAGCUUCAGCCCUGACGAUGGAUUGAUGAUUCGUACGUACCAGACAUAUUAUGAAUGACAAGAACCACUCAAACUCUAGCUUGUAUAGCUACAAAAUAUGAACAUUAUUGCUGGUAUGAAAUCAUUUGUGUAAGACAUGUGCACCAUCAAUACAUAGCUGACAUUUUAAGCUUGUUUAGUGAGAGAUAGCUCAUAGUCAUGGACUCUAUGAUCAUGUGAUUGUUUAUUGUCUCAUACUACAUAUUUUCUUCUUCCCAGUCUCAUGUAUUGCGUUUACUUAGUUUCCCUUUCCCAUUGGUCAAUAUAGUUUUACUUUUUUCUGCAGUUCAAAUUAAUGCUUUGUUGGAUUAUAUAUGCAGGUUGGUCCAAACUUUGCUUGAAAAUUUUGACCACAUAUUUUUCAUGGUUCAGAGAAGUGGGGAAGAAAAAUGCUCCCUUAAGAUUCUUGCUAUUUUGGUGGAUUCGUAAACUUGCAGUGCCCUUAAAUUAAUACAUUUGAAUUACUGAGAAAUAGAAAAUAAUUCACCAUAUAAUUGUACUUCAAUUCGUCACACAGGACAUUCGUAGCCCCUAUAGCAGCAGUGGGAAUGAAAGCUAAAAUAACUACGGGGACUGCAAAUUUCGAAGUAGAUGAAGUAAGGACCAUUGCCGAUCAAUCAAUCAAUCCGACCUUUAUGUCUUGUCUGGCCAUUCAUUGUGGGGGGCUAACUGAUAUUGCAAAUAACUAAUCAACUUGUGCCUAUAAUUUUUUGCUUGUGCAUGUAAGAAGUAGUAUUUCUUUUAAAUAAAACUAGAAAUACAUUACAAUUAAAAUAAAUGUGGCAAAUGAACUUUAUACAAAACCGAAGAUUCUACAUAUCUUUAAAAGCUAUCCUCGAAAAUUUAUCACCCAAUUUAAGCGGCAUUCAUCAAGUGAAUUAUGAAAUAGUAUAACAAGAACACUUUUAAAAUUAUGAAAAAUCAUUAUCCACUUAAUGACAUAUCAUGCCAUAUAAAUGGAAUGCAUUAUUGAAUUCACCCUGAAUCUUUAUGUCCUCUUCGUGACUUUGUUCAUUCAUUGUGGCGCUUGUAUAUACUUUCUCCAUGCAACUGUUCAACUUGUGACUAUAACUUUUUGCUUGUUUCUAAAUGUAAGGCUCGAUUCCGUGUGACAAAUAUUCAUUGGCUUGAUGUAAUCAACAGAGUAAUCAACCUUCAAUUUGUAUUAGAGAAUGAAUACCCCGAAAAAAAAUGUUAAAUUAACAGGAAGUUGCCUAUCUUUUGAUAUAUAUAUAUAUAUAUAUAUAACUAUCAAGUUCUUAUGCGUACUGGCCUCAAUAAUGGCCACUAAUUUGAAAGAUCAUAUUUAAAACUUUAAGCAAAUGGGUCCAUUAAAAUCAUCCAAUGUCCUAAAACUUAAACUUAACGACUACAAUAUCCAGAUAUAGGGUCGAUGAAAAAUGAUGAUGAAUUCCAGUCAAGAUUGUCGAUUUGAUGUGGGGGCAAAAGCGAAAGCUCUUUCCAACCGCAAUCAACGCAACCUAACUCAUUUAUCUUGAUUUGUGAAAAAACCUAACACAAACAAAACAAGCCAUCAUAGUCGCAUUUUAUUUUUGCCCAAGGAUAAAUAACAUUAACGAUCAAAUACAGUUCAUAUCCCACUCAGACUCUUUGAUGCCAACUUGCCCAUUUGAGCUGUGUGUGAGUGUCGAGUUACUUUCUUUUCCUCAAUCAUAGCUAGCGCAAAGAUUUUGGGUAUAAGGAAAAUGUAAAUUAAGAUCAAAAACUGUAAAAGAAAAUUAUUUUUGAUAAGAAAUGUAAUUGUUGAUACAAAUAUGGAUCAGAUUAUUGGCAAGUUAUUUUCGGUAUUUAAUGGGUUUGAAUAAAUCACAAAUACAUUAUGUGCGUUUAUUAAGCAAUUAUCAUAUGCCAUACAGCAUAUGAAAACGACGUAUCCAACGCGUAUGCAUUUCUUGUUUAAGAGUGUAACUUUCAUCAAUUAAUGCCCGACGAUCGCUUCAUUUUCUCUCAGGAUCCAACGCGUAUGUAUUUUAAAAUAACAUUAAAAUAUCUAUUAAAUGAUUUGUUUUACAAGUCAAUGCGUUUUAAUUUUUGGUUUGGUUUCGGAAGAGAGUUUAUAAUUACUUGAUUCAAAGUCAAAUGGAUUUUAAUUUUUUUUGUCUCUUCCUUAAUCUAUGUUGGCAAAAAAUCAAUUAAGAACACAUAAUCGAUUUCAAUAUACAUGAUUACUCGGUGAACUUUGAGGUAAUUGUCCCUGCACGCAUCUUCAAUGAGAGUGGAAAUGAUGUUAUUUGAGAUGAUAUUCAAUUUCUUUCCAGCUAGCUAAGCUAAUGAACCCAUGACACGAACAUAAAAAAAAAAUCAUAACCGUUGAGAUUUUCUCCAUAUGAUAAAAUUUCAGGACCCACGGUACCUAGAUUCAUUGGCUCGUAAUGGAACGCAGAUUCAUUGGCUGUUAAUGGAACGUUUUAGAAUGUGAUUAGACAUGACCCAAUAAGACAAUCUUAACUUGUCAUUCGUCAUCACCUGUGAAAGUGGGAAAACAAUUGCUUUUGUUCCUUGUAAUUCACUUGCUAUUGCGAUCAAGUGAUUUUUAAAUAAUUUUAUUUAAUUAAUUAUUUAAAUUUAAUUUUCAUAAUAUAUAUACAUAUUAUAAUAAGAGUGUUUUUAUUUUGUUAAAAUAAUAAUGACAUUAAUAAAUAAAAAAUUAUUAUUUUCAAAACAUUGAAAUGUAUUUAUUUUUUUUAAUAAUAUUCUCACUUUAACAAAGUGAAGAUGCCCUCACUUUUGAAGUUUUAUUUAUAAAUAUCACAUUAAUUUAUCCAAAAAAAUCUAUAAAAAAGAUUGAAUGUAAAAUUAUUAUUGAACAUGUAUAAUAAUCAUUUGUAAAUGUAAGGUGCAAGUGUCGGUGUAGGUUCGAAAUUUUUGCUGUUACACAUUCUCCUUUUAUCAUUAUUUCACUAAAACAUAAGUUCUAAUUAUAAAUAUCUUUAGAUUUAAGAAAUAAUAAACAACUCUUCAGAGAAAAAAAUUAGAAAAGAAAAAAGAAGAAAAAAAAAAGGAGGAAUAAAGAAACAAAUGAGUCAAAUUCCAAGAAUGAGUGUUUGACAAACGUCUACUAAAUUUUCAACAAAUCUGACUAAUAAUACACGCUGUAAAAGAUUUGUCUUGAAAAAGUGCAAGUUCAGAUUUAUUAUUUUUCAUUAAACAAGUCCUCAUAUAGCAUUUUCAGCAGUGUUUUUGCUGCUUUUUAAAAAAAAUCUAAAAGCAGAGAAAACAGUUUUUUUUAUAUACUAAUCUUUCUGUUGAAGGUAAUAAAGACACUUAAUUAAACAAUAACAAAACAAAGCAGACAAGUUUCCCAGUUGGGAAAAGUCAACAUCACGUUUCAUGUAUAAAUCUUCUAUCUUUCGUGGGGAAAAUAAUACGGUGUUACCUGCGGUAGUUUUAGCAUGGAGCUGAAAGUACUGGAAAUCAAUCUUAACCAUUCCUUUUUCUUGAAUAUGUCCCCAUCUGCCUUUAAUACUAUUAAUCAUCAUUACCUUUUGUCAACAUUUUAUUCUACAAUUCAAAAACAGAUAUAACGGUCACAAUUUUUAAAAAUUUUUACACGGCUAACAGGACUGAUCAAUCUGUUUUUUUAUGAUAAAAAUUUUUGCGGGUGCAAGUAUUGGACCUGUGCUGUAGCAAUAAGUUGUUUGUUAAUUAGUUGAUUGGAGAAAAUAAUGAACAAGUUAUAAUUUGCUGAAGGAUUGUACAGUUCCAAAGUGAAGUCAUCUAUCUUGACAAAUGUGAAAGCCAUCAAUUUGCAAAAUUAUGAACCCACAUGGAGUGUUUGAUCACCUGAGCUUCACCAUCAUACAUGACACUAAUGGUACAUACAGCAACGUACCCACAAGCAAAAAUCCAAGCAAGAACAUGAAGGAAUAGUAUGUGAUGGUUAAUUUCACGGCUGUGAAGAUGGUACAAAACUUGAAAGAGCCAAAAGAGAGAUGAGAUUUAAUUGGUUGUUUCCCCCAAAUGAAAAAGGUGUAAUAGACUAGAAUUUGAAAUCUACUGCGCUCCAACGUUCAAAAGCAAUUAGGUCCCUCGUGAUCCAUCGAACGGUCACAAAUUUGCAUGUGAAUGUCUUUAAUCUGAUUUAACAGCCCAUGUAAAAGUUAUUUUAUUUUAUUUUUUACUUUGGCUACUAUAAAUAUGUGUGGACAUUGUUCAAAAAUUUGCAGAUCCGCAAGUUUGAAACUUUUUUUUUUUUUUUUCACUCUUUUUCAUCAUUCUACCUUCUUGUCUACGUGAAGGAACAGAAUAAACAAACAAACACAAUGUCCGCUUUACAACUCGUUUUACCUUUUCCUUACUAAUAGAAUAUGUUUUUUUCUCCCUUUACUUCUUUCAAAGUUAUUGUCAGAUUUCUAUAUAUUUUUUUAGCUAUCCUUGUGAUCUGAUCAAUACCCACUUCUCAAAAUGCAGAUUCUGGGAUGGGUUUUAAAGGUUUUGUUGAUGUGUUCAGUUCUUGGUAUGUUUUCAGUGACAUCGGUAGCUCAAGAAAGGCCAUUGUCACAGGCUCCAAUUUGCUUUGAAGCUGAUAGGCUUGUGCUUCAGGAGUUUAAAGCCAAAAUAUUGAAGGAUACUACUGAAAUUCUGGCUUCAUGGAUGGGGAAAGACUGCUGUGGAGGAGAUUGGGAAGGUGUUGUGUGUAAUCCAGCAACCGGGAGAGUUACUGGGUUAGCUUUGCAGAGGCCUGAUAGAGAGCUCGGAAUGUACAUGAUUGGCACUUUGCCAGCUGCUCUGGGAAAUUUGCAUUUCUUGGAGGUGAUGGUGAUAAGUGGGAUGAAGCACAUUACAGGGCCAAUUCCAGAGAGUCUCUCAAAUCUAACACGGCUCACCCAGUUGAUCCUGGAAGACAAUUCUCUUGAAGGCAGCAUUCCUCCAGGUUUAGGCCAUUUGUCUUUGCUCCAAACACUCUCACUUGGUGGGAAUCGUUUAAAGGGGCCGAUUCCUCCGAGCCUGGGGAAUUUGAGAAACCUCCUUGUUAUAAAUUUAGGAAAAAAUUCUGUGUCAGGUCCAAUCCCUCCAACUUUCAUAAGUUUUCUGAGUUUGCAGUCUCUUGAUUUUAGCUUCAAUUUGUUAUCUGGGUUCAUUCCAGAUGCCUUAGUUAGGUCUCAAAAUCUUACCUAUAUUGAUCUUUCAAAUAACCAAUUCUCUGGAAAAUUUCCCAUUUCCAUUUGUGGUUUGGCCAAUCUCCAGGACUUGUCACUGAGCCAUAACCAGCUCACCGGAACAAUUCCUGAGCAGAUUGGCGGCCUCAGAUCCCUUAACAGUCUUAAACUGAGUGGUAAUAAGUUUAUAGGUCAUAUUCCAGCGUCUAUUUCGAGGUUACCAACCCUUUGGAACCUUAAUUUGUCUAGAAAUGGAUUCUCAGAUCCGUUACCCAUUAUUCUUGGCAGAGGCAUUCCUUCUUUGUUGUCAAUAGACCUGUCUUACAACAACCUGAGUCUGGGGACAGUUCCUAAUUGGAUCAAAGACAGACCACUUUCGAAUGUCAAUCUAGCUGGAUGUAAACUACGAGGUGCCCUUCCGAAGUUUACAAGACCAGAUUCCUUGAGCUCCAUUGACCUCUCCAAUAACCUUUUGACAGAUGGGAUUUCAAGUUUCUUCACAAACAUGUCUAGCUUACAGAACAUCAAACUUUCGAACAACCAGUUGAAGUUUGAUGUUUCAGAGAUUAGAUUCCCGGACGGGCUUGCUUCUAUUGAUCUGCACUCUAAUCAGAUUACAGGGUCUCUCUCUAGCAUCAUAAACAACAGGACAAGCAGCUUUUUGGAGGCUUUAGAUGUGUCAGGCAAUCACUUUUCGGGUGAGAUUCCAGAAUUCACAGAAGGGUUGAGCUUGAAAGUGCUGAACAUAGGAAGCAACAAGAUUACAGGCCACAUUCCAAGUUCAAUAUCAAAUCUUAUUGAACUUGAAAUGCUUGAUAUUCAAAGGAACCAGAUAGCAGGCACCAUCCCUACAAGCUUAGGGCUAUUGUCAAAGCUUCAAUGGCUUGAUGUAUCAGUCAAUUCACUCACAGGAAAAAUUCCAACCAGCUUGUUGGGGAUUCGAGGACUGAGACAUGCAAACUUCAGGGCAAACAGACUAUGUGGAGAGAUCCCACAAGGGAGACCUUACAGCAUCUUUCCUGGAUCAGCUUAUGCUCACAAUCUGUGCUUAUGUGGCAAGCCAUUGCCACCUUGUAGAGGAAAGAAUCAAGCAAAUUUGGGCCAGUGAAUGCUGACUCAGUAGCCAAAGACAUGCUCAUACCAUGUGAGCAUCGUAACACGAGGGAAUAGGUUCUGUUUACUGCAACAGUCAUAGUUCAUUUUUUAUCUACUUAUAAUUUUCAGUUUAAUUUUAUCAAUAAUGAUUAUUAUUGAAGAGAUCAUUGUGUCAAAAUCACUUAUUAACAAAGAGCACGCAUAAAACCUAAGCACAGAUAAGAAAUCAUUUGGCCAAGCAAACUUGUCUCAGUAAUAGGGACACAUUAAGUUUGCCCAUCAUCAGUUCAAUUAUGAUAACUACUGGAGAAGUCAUAAGCAUUGACAUCUAUUCAAAGAAAUACAUUCAAAUGCAAAAAAUAUGAUUGCAUAUUGGGAAAUUACAGAGAUGAUGCUUAAAGAUUAACACAAUCAUGCAUGAUUACAAUUAUAGAAUUGGAGAAUGACACCUUAAGUUUAAGACUUUGAAAGCUAGACAGAGCAAAUUUAACACAGCUAGUUAAUUUCAUUGACUAGAAGGUAUUCAAAAUUUACAACACCAGAGUACUCAGGGUCACAGUUGUUACAAGAAAAAUGGGAGAGGGAGGGGAAAAAAAAAAAAAAAACCCUAGCUAUUCCUCACAGCAUCACAUACUAUUUAUCUAAUAAUCAUCUAAAUUUUCUUCAUCCUGUUGCACUUCCUUCUCAGCAACAUCUUUUUCUGAUCCACCUUCAUCACCCUAGACAAAACACAAACAAAUUAACACACUUUAUGAGCACUAAAACCAUUUUACAACAUACAAGACAAACAUUAUACAAAGAUUAAUACUUUAAACAAAUUUUGGGCAUUUACAUCUUCCUUUUCAGCUUUGUCUUCAACUUCAUUUUCAGCUUUGUCUUCAACUUCAUUAUCAUCACCAUUACCCUCCAUGGCUUUGGAAUAAUCAGCCUUGAGCUCAGCAGCCUUAUCCAAAUAAGGCUUCUUUUCCUGAAAUAAAUAACAAGAAUAAAAUUAAAGACCAUUCACAUAGUUAACUAGUUCUCCAAUUCUGUGUCUUUUCAAAAGAAAAACUUGAACUCACUUCAUCUGUCAUAUUCUUCCACUUCUCACCAGCUUCUUUUGCAACCUAUGUUAAUUAUAUCAAACACAAAUGCAUCACUAAGAAAUUAACCCCAAAAUAAACUUAAAACAUUCAGCAUUUACAAACAAAUCAACUCAAUGCUAGUAAAAAUAUACCCCUGUAACACCCUUAGAAUCAGGAUGUGCUUCCUUGUAUUCCUUUCUGAAGUCAUCCCUGCAUAUUAUCAAGCCUUUCUUAGUACUUAAUAGAAUCAUAAAAAUUGCAACUCUAAGAGAAAAAAUAUAGAGGAAGAGAGAGAUAUUACAUGAAGAGAAAGAAGGCAGUGGGAGGGCGCUUGGGCUUGUUAGAAUCACUGUCUUUCUUUCUCAAUCUCUUUGCCCUUGGUUCUGUUGAUGUGGGCUUCUUCCUAUACAAAGAAUUUAUCAUACCAAAUCAGGAACUUUCAAGAACACAUGCAAGUUUGCAAAGCAAAAAAAGUGGGGCAUUUACCUUUCAGCAGGCUUCUUCUUAUUAAUUUCAGCAGGCUUUUCAACAACUUGAGCCUCUGCAAUAAAAUCACGUAAUUGACAAGUUAGGAGAGCUUAAUAGUGGGAAGAUAUAAUUGGGGCAAGUUGAAAGAAAAGUGAACUGACCCAAAUUCAUCUUGAUUUUAGCAUCAAGGCUGCAACUGUGCAUACUGAUAAGCGCCACUGGAACAUUCUUGUUGCACUCUUCACUGAAUUUUUUCCCCCCCCACAAAUUUAUCAGUUAAGACUUAAAAAUAAUGAAAAAUAAUAAGACAGUUUCCAUUUCAAAAAACUGAUUAAGAAACUAACCAUGGGGCUUACUUUAUCUAAUAAUCAUCAAUUCCAAUCACAGUAAAUAAAGAUGUAGAUCUUCACUUCACAGCUCACACAAAAGGCUAUGCAAUUAAAAAAAAAAUGAAAAGAAAAGAUAACGUUACCAUCUAGCGAAAGCGCUGCCGUCUCUGCCCCGCAUAAGAGUGGCGGAUGAAGUGGAGGCGGAUUGGGCGUCGACCCUCUUCCUCGGCUUGGGAGCAUUCGAUUUUGACGACGACGGCAUUUCUUAACUCUCUUGAGGGAAUUUCGGAAUGUUUUUAGUGAAUAAAGAAACUGCAAAUGAAUGAGAUUUGGGGGGUUUUGAGGGGUAACUCGAUAAUAAAUAAUCACAUACGCGCUUGGCUUUUGUUGAUUGUUGAUGCUGAAUUUGAAGAAGAGGGAAAUUGAAAUUUUGGGUUUUAUGCGUUUUGGCGCACUCUUUUAUGUAAACCCCCGCCCGAUUCGUUCAGUUUUUAUCUCUGAGGAUGUGGAUCCGUGACUUGGCGCUCUUACUCACCGUUGGUUUCACGACUCUUCUGUUUUUCGACGGUUUGGAUUCAUCGCCCCCAUCUCCUUAGACCUUUCCCGUCUCUCUUGAUUUAGGUUGCUGGGUUGGGGUUUGAAAUGGGCCAAGUUGGAUUUCUCGUGAAUAUCCAACUUCGACAUCUCCUACUAGAUACACCCAGCGGACAUUCAAAACAGUCUUGGCAUAUUCGUGUGGGUGUAAUAAGUAACAUGAUAUGCAAAAACUUGGGGUCUGAUUCGUACGUGCUCGGCAACUACAUUAUGAAAACAGAUUCAGAAAAUGCAAAAUGCAAAUGGCACAUAUUGCGUAAAACAAAUUAUAAAAAUAUUCCUUGAAACAAAUGCAAAACACGCGACGCGAAUCUUUGUGAGUCUUGACAGAAAAUAUGGAAUAGAAGUGUUGGUCAAGCUCUCCAGUGCUUUAUCUGAUGGCAGAGAGGUAAUCAUGGUUGAUCAAAUAGGUGAAGGAAAUGAGCCAAAACAAAUUUCUGGGUUCUGAUUCAAAAUCGAACCAAAAAUGCUUGGUAGGGAAACAAAUUUCUGGCUUCAGAAUUAAAAUCUUACUUCUGUUUUUGUGAGCAGAGCAAUGGGAUUCUUCUGAUACACCUCCCUGCAACCAAAGGAUGUAUCGGUUAAGUUUACACUCUUCGAGCGAGUGUCGGCUCCAAAAAAAUUAGAGAGAAAGAGCAAGAUUGAAAAGAGAAGUUGAGAAAUAGAAGAAGAGUCGAGAAAGAUAAGAAACAAUUCAUUCCGUAUAUCCUUACAUAUACCCCUUUGUCUAUAGAAGUUUCAAUUCAGCUCAGCAAACAACUUGUAACAGAAAAUAUAACAGCAAAAAUAAACCAGCAAAUAUAGAUCCCUAAAUAAUCGGAGUAACAAUAAAUCAAUUCCACUACACGAUAAAGUCUCUAAACCACCCAGGGGGGGCCUUCUCAAUCGUGUGCCUUUCUGUGGUUCAUUACAAGCUGCUUCGUCCUCAACAUGUGACGUGGUUUCUUUCUUGGACUGCCCUUCUUGUAAACAUUCAAGUUGGUCCAACUGAAUUUCGAAGGUUGUAUCAUUCUUUGGUAAAAAAUAAGUAGAGUGGAGAAGUCUUAGAUGAAUUAACUAAUGGACUACGGGUGUCAUUACUUCUCGGAUUAGGAAAUCAAACUCAUGAACAACAUUCAUUUUACAAAAUAGAGGCAUAAAUUAGGAUCAGAAUCGUGAAGCUCACCUGAAUUUGAGAACAAAGAAUGAGAAAUUUAUUCUCUAAAGGGAAAUGAGAAUCAAUCUCUCAUUCCUAAGAGUUUCCAUUUUUCCUCCAUUAAUAUUUUAAAUUAUUAUUAUUAACAUUAAUAUAUUAAUUGAUUAUAACAAUUUUUUUAUCAUUAAUAAUAAUAAUUAUUAUUAUUAUUAUCAUUACUAGUAUUAUUAUGUAUUUUAAAUUAUUAUUAUUAGUAGUACUACUACUAUAUCAUUAUCGUCGUCGUCGUCAUCGUCAUCAUCAUUACGACUUAGGGAUUUGGUUUUUUUUUUUUUUUGGUAUUUCUAUUGUUUAUUCAAAGGAAGGAAUUUUGGGGAUAUUAAAAGGGAAAAUGACAUUCAACCCCCAAACGUUUAGGAAAAGGGACAAAAAACCCCUCAACGUUUUAAAAAGGACUUAUAACACCCUUUCCGUUAAUAAACACCGUUUGUUUUAACAGUAAAUUUAUUUUUAAUUUUUAAUUACUAUUAUACCCUUAUAAAAAAAAUUAAUAUAUUAAUUUGAGAUAUAUCACAAUUAAUAAUUUUUUAAAAGCUUAAAAUUGAGAUACAAUUAUUUUUUUGCCAAAAUUUCUAAUGAUCAAACCUUUCAUAUAUUUUAAAAAAUUAUUAAUUGUGAUAUAUCUCAAAUUAAUAUAUUAAUUUUUUUUAUAAGGGUAUAAUAGUAAUUAAAAAUUAAAAAUAAAUUUUCUGUUAAAACAAACGGUAUUUGUUAACGGAAAGGGGGUUAUAAGUCCUUUUUAAAACGUUGAGGGGUUUUUUGUCCAUUUUCCUAAACGUUUGGGGGUUGAAUGUCAUUUUCCCUUUUAAUAUCCCCAAAAUUCCUUCCUUUGAAUAAACAAUAGAAAUACCAAAAAAAAAAAAAAACCAAAUCCCUAAGUCGUAAUGAUGAUGACGAUGACGACGACGACGAUAAUGAUAUAGUAGUAGUACUACUAAUAAUAAUAAUUUAAAAUACAUAAUAAUACUAGUAAUGAUAAUAAUAAUUAUUUUAAUUAACUGCUGUACGGCCAAGGCGGAUGUACGGUACAGCAGAUUAUUUUUUGCUAAAUUAAUAAUAAUAAUAAUUUUUUAAUAAAUAAUCAAAAUAACUAAAAUGCAAAAUAAUAAUUAUAACAAAAGUUAAUUAAGGACCUUUUAGUAAUUUGAAAUAAUCUAACUCAUUCUGAUUCCGAUUCCAAUACAAAAUAAACACAUCAAUGGUAAUUCAGCCAAUUUCGAUUUCGAUUCCUAUAGUUAAAGUAAACAACUUAUUCUGAUUUCAAUUUCUCAUUCCCAUUUUAUCUCAUUCACAUUCUCAUCUAUUCUAAUUUCAACCCAUACUGGCUUCCGUUUAGUAAAUGCACCAUAAGAAUAUAGAUUUAACCAACUCAUUAAAAAGAGUUCUAAGAAAGAACGAUCAAAUAGCCCUUGUAAAUGUUACAUAAUUAUAUUCGGCGAGAAAAUGCAAGUGAUAGGUUGUUUGAGGACUUUGAUGUGCAAGAUAUAAUUACCAAAAAAGAAAGAGAUAUUAUUAGGCCACUUACUUAUAUUGAUUUAUUUCCAGCAAGUGUUGUAAAGAUGAAUGCUACAAGAGAUAACAUUUAAACAUGUAUGUGACAUGAUUACAUACGUAAUAUAUGAUGCCUCUCAUGUAAUUUUUUAUAAUUAUUUUAUUUGAAUCAUAUGUGUUUUAUUAUUUAUCUUAAUCAUAGUGUAAAAACAAUGACAAUUUAAAUUUUUUUUUAAAGUUAACUCUAACACUAAAUUAUUUAUGGUAUGUUUGUGCAUGUAUUAGUUAAGCAAUUAUUGUUUAACUAUAAGUAUAAUUUAAAUGUUUCAUAAAAAUUAUUUUUAAAAAUAGUAUUACCAAACACAUAUUUACUACUUUUAUUCUCCCCAAUUGUGUCUACUGAACACAAAAUACCAUUUUCAAUUUUUAAAUACAUGAUAUAUUCAAUAAUACCAAAAACUUACCUAAAUAUAAAAUAUAACAAUUGCAAAACACAAUUGACAUUCUUAUUUUUUAUUUUAGAAAAUAUUAAUUUAGAAACAAUACAGUACAGGCCCUUAGUUGCCGUUAUUUAAGAAAUUGCCUUCAACUAUUUGCAAAAUGAAUAAAUACAUUUAAAAGCCCCAUAAAAGGGUAAAAACAAUGAUUGGGAAGGUUAGAGCAGUAAAAAUCAUUAGAAUUUUGGUUUUACAAAUUAGAAGAGUCCGUUGUGUUAUUGUAGGCUAGGAAAGGGAAAAUAACACAUAAAGAAUAGGAAUCAAUUAGUUAUUCAUUAAAAUUUGGUUUAUUGAAUGACCAAAAUAGUAUAAAUGAUAAGAAGAUAAAGCGGGCAUAACGAUAAUAAGCAAAGCCAAAAAUGAAGCAGGUUCUAUACUUUCACGCUUCAAUUCUUUGUCUGUUGUAUCAAACUCUCAAGAUAACCUUUGGGGGAAAAAAAAAAGAUGGUUAAUUAUUUUUGAGUUAAUGAGAGAGGGAGAUGAGCACAGGAGAGUCACUUUCGAUGCAACGAAUAUUUCAGCAUCUCUCGCUGCACCCAGCCCCAGCCCUUAUCCUUUGCAGAAAGUUUGGUCUGUGAGGAUUUUGGCUUUUGGGAGCUAUCCACAUCAUCGUUAUCCACAAUUAGAUAUCCACUUUUAAUCCCUAUCUUUAAUUAGUAAAAUCAAAAUCAAAGACUUUCUUUCAAUCUUUAAUUUUGUCAAGCUCUUAUUAAUUCAGCCUCUCUUUGCCUCUGCUUUACUCCAUGGAUCGACCAUGAUAAUACUUUCGUAAUCUUUUUUCUACCAAUCUAGGUGAGUAUUUACUCCAAUAUUGCAUGACCAAUAUAUCCCCAUUGUUAAACAAAAUUGUCCUUAAUAAAAUUAUUAAUUAGAUCCAAUUCAAUAAGCCUAAGCUUUUGGGUUGAUAGGUUAGAAAUGGCUUUUCAACUCAUCUGGUAUUUGCUUGUCUCUUAAGAAUCUUACGACGCGUGUAUAUAAUUAUAAGAGAACUGAAUAUGAAUUUAGAGAGAUUAAUAUAACCUACUAUCAAAAUCAAAGUCCCGAUCUUCUAUUCGUUUUCUAAUAAGUUCUAUGUGACACGAAAUAAUUGAGCUUGAAGUUAAUCAAUACUAAAUAAUUAAAGAGGGAUGAAAGAUUUUUUAAAUGACAACAUAUUCUAUUCAUAGCUUCAGCAUACUCCAAAAAGAUAUGUUGCAGAGAAGCCAAAACUCGGGAGAAUGAUGGAAAAUGGACCAUGCGGCGGGGGACCGCAAUCUAAGGUCUGAUCUGUGAACAGAUAUCAUGCAGAGGGAAAAAAACUAACAAAAUGGUCUUAUUCAGAUUUUAUAUAUUGAUGGCCAAUUUACAUAGUAAAUAACAAGAAAGAAUGGGAUCAGAAUGACACUAUUCUAAUCGUUAGGGUUCCAGAGGUCCCACAAGAAAUCCCCCUGAUUAGAGCGGCAACCAAUGAAAACACAAAGAUUAGGAUCAUCUUAACAUCCUUAGCCAAUUACAAUCCAGAUAAGGCCAUGUCAUGGUCCCAAAAGCGCAAUCCCUUUCUGUUUUGAAAAACCAAAAGUGCAUCCCAAGAGGCAAUAUACUGCAAAAGCGCUUUUGUGGGCCACCACACACAAAUACUACAUUAUUGAACCACACUUUCAGCUCUCUCUAGCCAUUAGCCAACUCUCCAGUAAGAAAACUUGGAAACCUCUCAAGGCCACAACAACAAUUCUAUAGUAAUUACUCUUUACCCGUUAGGUUGUUAUUGCUUUAAUUUGCCUUUGAUUUUCAAUUUUUUGUAACUUGAUGAGCUCUAACAAGAAUGUGGCCAACGCCGUUGGUGGCAAAACCGCUAGGGCUUGUGAUAAUUGUAUAAAGAAACGAGCCCGAUGGUACUGUGCUGCUGAUGAUGCUUUCCUUUGCCAAGCUUGCGAUGCUUCGGUUCACUCGGCUAACCCUCUAGCACGUAGACAUGAAAGGGUUCGCUUGAAAACGGCAUCGAAUAAGUCUUCAGGUUCUGAAUCUCUCUCGGACAAUACUCAUGUGCCAUCAUGGCACCGAGGGUUCACCAGAAAGGCCCGGACCCCGCGAAAAACUGGGAAGCCAAUACGCAACGUGACGCUUCCUCUGGUGCCAGAAGUUGGGGCUGAUGAGCUAUCACAUGAAGAGAAUGAAGAAGAUCAGCUUCUUUAUAAUUGUAGGGUUCCAACGUAUGAUCCCUUUGUUGCUGAGCUAUGUACGUCGACUGCCAAUUCAAAUGAAGCUGCAGAACAUAAUAAUGCUACUGCAAAGACUGAUGCUCAUGAUGAUGAGAGUACUGCUGAUGAUGCUGUAAAUGGAAGUGAAUCAAAACCUGUUCGAGCUUGUUAUAAUGGAGAUGUUGACAGCUUACAUGGGUUUCUUCCAUCAGACAUGGACCUUGCAGAAUUUGCAGCUGAUGUCGAGAGCAUGCUUGGAAGGGGACUUGUGAAUGAGUCUUUCGCGAUGGAGGAACUGGGGUUGGUGGAUUUUAGAGAGAAGGAUUUCACAGUGAAAGUUGAACAGCAAGAGGGAGCAGUGGAAGCGGAAGGUGCCAGGGAUAUUGAAGAGUGCAAAGUGUUUGAUAAUAACAAUAAUUACAACAAUCAUGAUCAGAUUGAUUUGGAAAGAGAACCCUUUGAGUUGAAUUUUGAUUAUGAUUCUCCUGCUACAUGUGGAGAUGAAGAUGAGAAGAUUCUAAAAGAAGAGAUGGAGACUAGUGGUGAAGGAUGUCAUGAAGAUGAUGAUGAGGCAAAGAAGAACAACAAGAAGAAGAGGAAGAUUCUGUUGAGCUUAGAUUAUGAAGCUGUGAUUAAUACCUGGGCAAGCCAAGGGUCUCCGUGGACGACCGGCGAUCGGCCCAAUUUUGAUCCUGACGAGUGUUGGCCCGACUGCAUGGUAGGUUGUCCGUACACUCAUUCAAUCAAAUCUUAUCGUAUUUAUAUUUUUGUACACGUGACAUGAUAUUUCAUUGUCUCUUUUUAUUAACCCUAAGAAAUAAUGGACUAUUUGAACUUUUUUCAGGGAACUUGUGGGACAGAGGGGCAUAAAUAUCUUCAGCACCCGUAUGGCGAUUUCUCCGGAAUUGGUGCUCAUCCGGCGACGGUGGACGGCGGGAGAGAGGCACGAGUGUCGAGGUACAGAGAGAAGCGGCGAACGAGGCUGUUCUCGAAGAAGAUAAGGUACGAGGUUCGGAAAUUGAAUGCAGAGAAGAGGCCUAGAAUGAAAGGGAGGUUCGUGAAGAGGGCUUCCUUUGCAGGAGGACCUCCUGCUUUCCCUUUGUUUGGCAAGACUAAUUAACAGCUUUAAUUUGUACUCACUUGUAAACUGUUAUGUGUUAAUUAAAUUAGCUACAAGCUUUUUUGUAUCCUUUACAAAUCCAACGAUAAAUGAAUAAACAGAAUGUUAUAUGAUUAAGCCGAUGAGAUGAUCAACGUUUAUUUAUUUCAAUUACUAAUAAUUGCAUCUACUCUAGCGCUUAUAUGUUCUAUCCGUGAGAAACACAAAUCAAUUUGAAAUGACUUGAGGACACUGCCUCAGUGGCAUGGCCGUUUGUCGGUGCAUGAGUGGCAUGAUUCGUUAUUGCUCAUAGCUCCUACCUAAAAUGGCAAAAAGAAAAAGGUUUACAAAAUAUAAGUUUUAGUGCAGCUUUUUCCGAGCGCUAUUUAUUGUACAAAGAUAAGCAAACCCAUCCAUGCCGAUCGGAAAAGGAUCCUCUCCUUUUUCUUUUUUCUUUUCUUAAUCUGUUUUAGUUGAAUGAGUGAUAAAUAAAUUAAAUAAUUUUCUUUUUCACUUUGUUUAUAAUUAUAUCAGUUUUUUUCACUAGAUAAAUUUAAGAAAUAAUGAAAGAAUAGGAGAUAAGUGAAGAUCCUAAUGCCAAUUGUUUAAUGUGACUUGACUUACAUCACUAUCUAUAUUUAUUCUACAAAGACAAUUUAUAUCUUACCCUUUAUUAAUAUCUACGUAUAACAUCAUGAAGCAUAUAAGUAAUCAAUUACGCCAGUUAUGUUGGCUAGGAAUCAGUUAAUUUUAUUGUCGAGAAUGAUAGUAAAUUUAUAUACUGUGAAAGGUGUGGUUAAGUUAAUAAUAAUAAUGUAAUUUACAUCCACCAAAGAGUUGUUCUCAAUAAUUAAAAAAAAUAUUAUAUUUGAUAAUUGAAUUACAACUGAGUUAUUGAGAACAACUCUUGUGUGAAUGUAGGCUAAGGAUUCUCCCUAAUCUUUCAAAGACUUUGUUCCCACCUGUCUUUCAGUACUAGUGUAUGAUUAGAUUUAAUAAUUUUUAUUUUUUUUUAGUUUGUUAAUAAAAUUUAUUCAAAAGAAGAUCAUAGUAUGAGAUUAUCUUGAUAAUGAAUGCAAAUUGUAUUAUUAAAUAACUUAAUAAUGUUCUACUACGAAAAGUAAAUGUUAUGGAAGUUGUGACACCAAUUAGCUGGCAUUGACUAAUAAACCGUCUAGAAAGAAAAAGUCAUGAAAAUCAGAGAUCAAUUAUCAGGUUCUAACAAUAUUAUCCCCGGAUAAUUCAUCUAUAAAAUCCCAAAAAAAAAAAAGUCAAUUGGAUCUGGCAAGUCUAAUUGAAAGUUGUGCAAGUGCAAAAAAUAGACUUCUUGGGCAAUUUAUUUCUUACAAGUUAGUUUAGAAAAUAGGAAGAAAGACCAAUUUAAAAAAAUUACAAAUAAAAAAUAGAAAAUGGAAUUAUAAUAGCGAGAUCAGUGGCCCUGGCCCAUGCAUUAAUUUUCAGCCUUGGCCUUUCUCUACAGUUGCGAGUGGUCUGUUUUUAACAAACACAAAAAAAGGGUCCCCCAUACGAUAAUUUAUGUUGGAAUUUUACAUAUUGCACAGCUCAUAACACUGUGAUUUCAAUUCUAUCAAUGACUCCAUCCAUCUUUCAUUUUUUCUGUGAAUCUCAAUCAGUCAAUUGCCACAAUAGCAAGCCAUUUUCAAGGCCAGAAUUUGAAUGUUCUUGAAUGAAUAUAACUAGUUCACUUGCAAUAAGUUUUCCACGUGUAUGGUGAAAAACAAUUAUAUAGAAGUGUCCAAGCUGUUAACGUUAAUUGGGACCCCCUAACUUUUUCCAAUUUCUUUGCACUAUUAUUGCAUAUGAUCAUAUCAAUUUUUACUGUUUAAAUCGGUACCUAACCAACACGAUAGUACAUUUGCUGCUGAACUUUCAUUUCCACUGGUCGGAUGGUCCACUUUGAACACAAAAAUUUUAUUUUCAGUGUCUCCCUGACUCCCUCUAAGAUUUCUACUGUUGUUGCAAAUUGAAUCUAAUACUGAUAGGUGGGUUCCAGAAUUAGGAAUGAAAUCAAUUGCAAAUGAUACAUCACUAAUUGUAAUCACAAAUGUUAUAAUUGAUCAUGCAUCUUUCAAGUCCAAUUAAGAUUUUUAGUAUAAAUAUAAAGUUAGAUUUUACGAUUUUCACCUUAAGUAUGAAGUUUCAAUUGGUAUUUUAAAUUUUAAUUGACUGAAGCAUCUGUAUAGAACUUAUUGUUUUCUAUAAGAGCUUUGUAUAUUGUUGUUGAUAUACACUUUCUUUGUUUAAUUUUGUAACCAUAAAUUAGCACCAAAAAAAUUAAUGUUAAUUUUUCAUAAGGAAUUCAAACAAUUACUUAACUUGUAAACUAUAUAAAUUAUGUACAACUCAAGAAGAACACAUAUGUCAAAAUUAAUAUCGACUUAAAGAUAUUUCUGUUUAUAAAAACAAACAACUUAAUUAACACUUAUAAUCAAAUGUUAAUGAAAAAAAAAAAUCAUUCACCAUAUAUUUAGAUAUAUUCACAAUUGAAAAAAAAAGUUUUUUUUUUCGAUUUCAUUAAAAAAAAAAAAAACAAAACAAACAUUAUCAAAGGGAGCCUGAUUGAUAAUUAGAAAACCUUUUUAUACCAUGUUGAUAAGUUAAUUUCAAACAGUCUAACCGAUUAACAUAUAUUAGUUUCCAUCCAAGUUUAGAUUGAGAUUAGGAGACUACCCUUAUUGGUAGUGGUAGAAUAGAGAUCAUUAUGGAAAAAUAAUAUAUGUCAUAAAAACAUGUAUACACAGACACUCAUAUGAAGAAAACAUAAAAUUUACAUUAAAAUGAAUUGAAUCUCAAUUAAAAUCGAGUCUUUUUUCUUCCCUUUUUUUACAAGCCUGGGGGACACGCGGACAACGACUCUGGUUACAACAUAGUUCCACUUCCACACUGCCUGUUGCGAUAAUAUUUGUGUGAUUAAGAUUUAUUGACUAUUAUAAUUUUUUUUUUAAAAAAAAUUCACAAAUGUUAAAUUUGAGAGUCCUGAUCUUAUGCGUCCUGUCGCAUGUUAGUAAUUCAUUGUUAAGGUUGCAGGCCUACAAAACAGUCCGAUCAAUAAAAACUUAAUAGACGGCCCAUCAAGCACUUACUCAGAUUUCUUAAAUUCGAUUGUAUUUGCAUGAAAAUUCAUAAUUUGUUCACAUUAGGAAAACAAAAACUGCGAAUGAAUAAGAUUCAAGAUGGCGAGAGAAAAUUAAUUUUUCCCAGAAAAAAAUGUAUAUCAAUUUCUCAAGCCAAUGUAGGCAUACACAAGAAUCUCUAAAUUUCCCACGAUUUAGUGUCCCAUGCGUUAACAUUUAACUUUGUCAACUUUUUUGUUUCGAGAGUUGAGAGUUCCAUUUAAUGAAUAGCAUUGGGUUUUCAAAUCUUUUAGUCUACUUUAUUAAUUUAUGUUACAAAUUUGAUUAAAGCAAACAAAUUUAACAAAGUUGCGGGUUUUGCUUCAAAUAUUGACAUGUCUCUUCAUCAACUGAAGUCAGCAAUGGCAAGCCAGCCAGCCAAGCCAGCAAAAGUUUUCACAAAUCAAAACAUGUACAGCUGCAAAAUCGAGAGGGCCAUAACAAUACCGUACACUUGGAGCAACGCACACAUGCAAUAAAAUAUUUGUAAAAGGUUUCGGACUCCAAUGCCGCUGCAUGAAUAGCAGCUGUACGAAUACUCAACCCUACGUGUAAUGGCCUCACUGCCAACUCACACAAUCGCCAGCACCUCUCUCUUAAUUUCGGAAAAAGAAAAAAAAAAAAAGCCUAUUUGGCAGUACAUUACCAUUUACCAACAAGAACAAUUAUAAUCAAAUGGAAUUGGAAAACUAAACAACAAAAUUAAGCGCAAAAUAGGAGUUCUGUUCAUUUUAAUUGCCAUAAACAAAGAGAUAAUUAUUAAACAAUGUGUAUAGCAAUGUAUUCUGUUUUAUCUAGCAAAGCUGGUUAAUAUAAUGAACUUUUGUUGUGCACUCAAAAGGCAAAAACCCCGCUCAUGCAUCAUUACAUAAAUUCGCCCACCAAAUUGAAUUGGCUUCUUUAAUUGCAGGAUUAUAUAUAAAGAAGCAAACUAAAACAUGUAGUAAUUAGUCUAAUUAAUGGUUCGUUGGAGGCAGACACAGAGUGAGCUCCAAUCCAACGUCGCCGUUUCCAUUUUGAACCCAGCGCUGUUUGUUACGGUUCACAUCAAGCGAACCCUCAACAGUUUCAACAGAGAAUAUGCUCUCAUAGUCAUCUUCUGAUCUACUGAUCACCUGACUCUGCAGCCAUGACGAUUGGUCUUGAAUACUCUCCCUCCCAACAACCGGGGCUUUUGGCCGGCGGUUCCAAGACCGUUUGGCCCGGGCCUUGGUCUUGUCCGAACAGUUGGCCGCGGAUGGGUCCUUUGACACGUGGCGUAUGUCGUAGAUUUUAAGAGGAGGGCUUUGGACGUUUAAGGUCCAUGGCGCAGCAGCAGGUGCAUUGUUGUUUGAAGAGCUCGAAGAUGAUGAAGAAGAAGGGUUUUGGGUAAUGGUUUUGCCUUUGAGCACAGCAUCAACGGCGGCCUGGCAUUGCUCCCAUUUCCCUGACCAAAGCAACCCCACCGACCCGGAUAUUGGAUCCACUAUACGCCCACAUGCCUCGUACAACAGUGACUUAAAUAUAGCUGCGAAAAAACAAACAAUUAUUAUACGUACAAGUAUAGUUAUAAAUUCAUAAAAUUAUAUACAAAAUUACUCAUUAAUUGUAAAAAAAUAUAUACCAGGGCGAAGGUGUUGGGGACCGGCUUCAAUGAGGUUGAUGAGGCCGGCGCGGCCAUAGAAUUUGGCAAGAAAGAGAGUAGCAUUGGCUUGAGCAUCAGAGGAUUUGAUCCAAUCAAGGCAAGGCUUGAUGAUGCAGUCAUCACCGCAGCCUUUGCGCAAGAUUCUACACCCGUUGCAACUCAUCCUCAUGAUAUUUAUGUGUAUAUAUAAAUACACAGUGAUUAAAUAUACGGAGAUUAAAAUUUGAGAAAAGAAAAGGGGCCGGUAGGCUAUAUAUUUAAGAUCAGAAGAGGGGCAAACAAGGCGUAGUGGUUUUGGUUUUGAUUUGGAUUCUCCAACAGGAGUGGUGAGUGGUGGGUGAAGUGAAAGAACCUGAAAACAAGGGGUUUUUAUUCUUAACUUCUUUGCUUCUUUAGGUAAAGUUGGGGCAAAUGCCUUCUUUGGAAACGGGGAAUAUGACCCAGAUUGUGUUUUUAUAUAAUCUCUCUCUCUCUUGUUUCUUUAAUUUAUUUCUUUUUACUUGUUUUAGAAUCACCCCACAUGCACUACUUUAAUUACAACUCAACCAUAUACUACAUUUACAUUCCUAAAUAAGUGUAUUACGCAUCUUAUCUUAUACUAACACAAUUUGAUAUAUUUGAUACAAAUUAAAUUAUUAGUAAUUUAAAAUUUAGCAUAUUAUCUAGAAAGUCUUAUGUGCUUCUGGAAUUUUUUUUUUAUUCACUUCUUGUCACAUAUAUAUUUCAAUCAAUCACGAUGUUAUACAUAUACACAAAUUAAACAGUAAAUAAAUUUCGAAAGCACUAACAAUUUUUUUGCUAAUAUUUUAUAACUGAUGUCACUUCACAAGUUUGAUAGGCAACAUUUAUAUACAUUGUUAAAUUUAGUGUGUGUGUGUGUGUGUGUAUAUAAGUAUAUGUUUAGAAAUUACUGUUUCACAUAAAAUUGCUUAAUGGAUGCAACAAAUACACGGUGUAAACUUUGUUUCAUGGAAAUGGGCAUUCUUUUUUGUUAAUUAUAAUCCUUAAUUGUUAAGAAAAAUCGUAAACAUGAAUGGGAGGGCAAAUAUGAAAAUACCCAUUUAAAGAGGAAACAGACAGCAGAUGAAAUGUGGGAAACAUGCAAGAGGAUGACAGAGCAUGAUCACGUGCAAAGCACGAGUUCAGACCACCCACUUCCUCAAAAUUUUCGAGCAACUGCAAUAAGGUAAUAACUCCAGAUUUUCAGGAGUCCGUACAAUCAAAUUCAAAAUUUAAAAAAUUUAUAUUAAAAAAAUUUCACAACAAAAAAUAAAAUAAUUAAUAAAUAAGGGAGAUUCUAAAUAAAGUAAAAUAAAAAUAAAAAAUAAAAACCUGUAGUAGUUUGAUAAAAUCCUGGGUUUGAGAAAUAUUGGGACACUGUCUGUGGGCGCACACCAAGAGCCGAUGGUUUUUAUAAUUUUAUUUCCAUUUUUAUCCUAUUAUUAUGGAGCCACCUGAAUCUUUUCCCAUGUUUUAUUUUCAUAAGCUGUUUGUUUCUUUACUUGAAAAUUUUCAUGGUGUGAGAUUUCAUAUUAUAAAUUCACGGAUUUUAUGAGAAUCUAAAACUUAUAGAAACUGUAUAAAUUUCAAUUUGUAUAUGAGCUGUGUACAUUUGGUGCAUGGAUGAUGUAGUAUAACUAGUUAUCAUGACACGUAGGGAUGACAAAAUCUUAUAUGAAUUUAUAAUUGUAUGGGGUCCAUCCCAAAUAAGGUGAAUUUUGAAUAAUGUUUUAGAAAUGAGGUGGGGAAUGUGCGAAAAAUAAUUCAUAAAUUUUUAAUGGGAUGGAAUUUAGUUUUAUAUUCGCCACCCCACACCCACUUCAAUCCCCAUUAUAUAUGAUUUUUUUAAAGUUUUGUUCAAUAAUUUUUAUUUUAUCAAUUAUAAUGUUGGUUAAUAAUUUUUCUUUAUUUUGACCUAGUAUAAAUAGGUUAUAACUAAAAAAAACCCCUACAUUAUAAUUCUUAUUCAAUCCUAAAAUAUUAUUAUGUUUUUUUUUCUCUCUUAAUGUGCUGCUCUCUUCAAAUAUUUUUUAGUUUUGAUAUUAUUUCAAUCUUUUGGAGAUUUUUUUAAAUUAUUUAAAUACUUUAUAAUAUGAUAAUAAUUUUAUUUAAUGUCAUUUCCAAGCAAAGAUCCUGCUGUACCGUACAUCCGCCUUGGCCGUACAGCAUUACAUGUGAUGCCUCAAAUUUGUUAAGUUAAUAAAAAAAAAACCUUAAAUUAGACUGAACUGGACUUACCAAUUUGUAUAAAUAACUUUGAUCCAAUCGGUUCAUCACUCGAUUUGAUGGAAUAAAGGCGUGUGACACGUAUGAACGAACAUAAAGUUGAAUUAAAAUCACUAAAUAGACACUAAUUAAUGGUGCAUUGGUAGAAACCAAAUCCUUUUUGAGUAGAGAGUUUGAAAAAGAAAAAAAGUUAUUCGUUUAGCCCAAAUUCAGUUUGCCGACAGACUCUCAAAACUGCAAAAUCGCACAAUAAUUAACUUUUGGUUGAAGCUAAUUAGUGAUAGCUUAGAAGUUGAAUGAUUCUGCUUUACGCAAUUUUAAGCAUCAACUAUGACUUGAUGUUACAUAUUGAGUUUUGUUUCAAUUAAAAGUAUUAGAAGCAUCGCUGGAAUUGUCCUAUUGCAUUCUUUGUCAGUGUCUCGUCAAUAUAAAUGCUCAAUUGUUGGAAUUAUUGUAGUGAGGAGAGAGUCUUGGAUGGGACAAAACAAACAUACCAUUUUAACCCCAAUGCUUUAUUCAAUAAAUUACCACAAAUAAACAUAUACUUAUUCGAGUAUCAAUUUUAGUGUGGAUUAAGAUAAAUAAAAUAAGUCGCAUAAGUCACCCUAAAAUUCUUUUGUACGAUGAAAAAUUUAUUAUAUUUUUAAUAAUUUUAUUAAAAUUAUUAUUUAAAAUUUAUAUUUACUACAUAUUAUUAAUUUUUAUUUUAUAAUUAUAAUUUUUUUCCACACAGCUGUAAUUUAAAAGUUACAGUACCUCAAUCCUAAACAAGACCUUAGUCUACUGAAAAUAACUCCUCGCGGGUGAUGAAUACACUAUUUACAAUCCUGUUUCUUGAGACAAUAACAUGCACCGUCAACUCACACUUGAUGAAUUAUCAGCACAUACAAGUCUGAACUUGGUUAAUUUAAUUAAUCAAUAUCACUGAAAUUACGGUAGCUAAGUAGCGAGGAGAGUGUGAAGCCUGGGCUCUCAACAGUCAAGAUUUUACGAGUCAUUACGAGUGAGGCUGGGCUUGCUCUAAAAUAAACCCUAACUAUGAACAAGCCCAUCUAGAUGUUUGGGCUACAAUGACCCCAAAUCAAACAGAAAGUUUAUUUUGUUUUCAAUGCCAAUAAUUAAAACAAAAGAAACCUGAGGAUGAUUUUAAUCUUUUAGUCAUGAAAUGUUUUCUCCUAAUGAAUUCUAUAAAUUUAUGUGAAACCAAUCAAAAUCAUCCUACAACAUAGCAUGGGUCAAUGAUACAUACUAAUUAACUUUUUAAAAAAUAUUCUUAUAUAACCCAUAGUCCUUUACUAGAAAUUUGUCACCUUCAUUCAUAUCAUUUUAUGUAUGUAUGUGUGUGUCCAAACCUCAGGUAUUGUCUUCUGCAAAAGUAAUUUAGUUAAUUCGUAAUUGAUUGUGUUCUCGUUUUCAGAUAUCAAUCAGAUAAUUGAGAAAGAAUUUGGCCUGUUACUGUUACUAGCUAGCAGUAGACAGUAGUAGUAACAAUUAAUAAUAAAAAUAUGAGAAGAACAAGACAGCCUUCAUGUUAUUAGAGGAUGCAAUUCACGUGCUUUCUGCUUAUAAAACGACAGCCUUCUCCUCUGAAUUGCAGCAGUUGCCAUACCAAUCAUCAUCUUCCCCUUUUUUUUAAAAAAAAAUUGUUUCCAUCUUUCCAUUACACCAAGCUUCCUGUAAUCUAUGUAUGAACAACCGACGAUCCAAUCAUAAAUUUUAAAAAUAAAAAUAAAAUAUUUACAUUUAUACAAAAAAAUAUAACUAUUUAUUUUUUUCUACAAAAUUAGUUGUAUCGCAAAGCCUCUUUCACUAUCCAACACACAAACACACACACACACAGAGGUUACUAAGUUGAUGAUCAUUAUAAGUAAGUAAGAGGAGCUCGUACUAACAACAGAAGCACAAAAUAAUAAGAAUAAUAAAACUAAGAAGAGCCGUAGCAAUGAAUAUCCAACCAUGCGAUUGACUCAUUCAUUAAUAAGGAGCAAGACUCGAUCCUCUUCUUCUUUUGCGUAUAAUAUGGAGACCAAACACAUACACAGUGAAAGAGAGAGGUAUUAUAAUGUGGGUAAGUUGGUAACAGUCAAUAGAUAUCACAAGUAAAGGAAAUAACAAUUAAUGAUGCAUCAAUUGGUGAGCUGAUUAAAAUUGUCUUUUGUUUUACAUGCUGAGGAGGAGAAAGAGAUCGAUGGAGUCAAUUUGAUUCCAAAUCCAAAACACUACCAAACAAAACAAGAUCACUUGCAGCUUUUUCUUUGAACCUCUCCGGCCGCAUAAUACGUGGCCCUUUCUUACAUCGGUUUCCUCUAAUUUAUUAAGCAUCCACAAAAAAUAAAUAAAAUUUCACCAAAAUACGAGACACUUUUUUGUUUGCUAUCAAUGCUUAGCCAACGGGCAAUUAUAUGAAUUGGAACAAUGUGUAUAUAUAUAUUUCAACCAAUAAGGAAAAAAAACCCAUUAAUGAAUUGAUACUUGAUUGUAUAUUGUCUUCUUACAAAAGAAGACAAAAAGUUCAACUGAAAGUAAGCAAUAAAAAUAUAUACAAAUUUCCAAAAUACACAAAUUUACAAAGACUACAGUCCAUCUAACAUUCAACUACUUUCGUUCGUUUUUAUGAAAUCUUUGUUUGUUGUGUUUAAAAGUAAGAUAUCAAAUCUUACUUGGUACGUUUGCAAAUCCAUUCUUGUUCUUGUUCCAAAGUACCUUCUUCACUUCCGAUUUUUUCAACAACAACCUCAUUAAUUAUCUUUAAGUGGUUAGUUGUUCUCAUAAAUAUAAACCAAACUAAAAUGAGUUUAAGCAUUCAGUUUAGAGUCAUUAAGAGGUUCAAUGCUUUGCAAUUCAAAAAAAAGUUUUUCAAGAGUAGUUAAUGGUUUGUUAUUUAAGAAAGUACCAAAUCUUAGAAUUUCCAAUUCAAUUUCAUUGGACUCAUUUUACAUUUGUUUAGGCUAAUUUUCAUCACAAAAUAUACUUGAUUUGAAGGGUAAAUUUGCAUCUCUAUAUUUUAAAAAAAAAAAAAAACUUGAAAACAUUCUUACAGUUAGAUAUUUAUUCUUUGUUUUUACAAAAAUAACAAUAUUCUUAAUAUUAUUUGAUUUAUAUUUUAAAAAAAAGAUGAUUUUAAUAAAUUCACCAAUUAAACAAUACAUAUCAAAAUGAAAGAGCUAGUAUUUUGUAUACCCAUACAAUAAUCUUACUAAUAAUUAUUUAUAAAUAGAUCAAUAAUAAACCAACUGAAAGCAAUGUUUAAUACCAUUGCAAUAAUCUUACUAAUCAUUGUUUAUAAAAAAUUAAUUUCCAAAUUAAUCCUAAAAGGAAACUAAUAGUAUAAAAAUUUAGGUAAUUUUUAUGUUACUUUUAAGGUUAAUUUAAUAAAUUAUCAUUUUUUUCUUUUCAUUAACAUCUCCAAGAAUAUUGUUGCAAGGGUAUUAUUGUAAAAGAAAAUAAAAGUAAUGGUAGAAGUAUAACAUAUUUAAUAGUAUAGGCGUCUUGAGGUACUUUUUUAAAUAUAGGGACUAAACAAACACUUAAAAAAAAGUAUGGGGACUAAACUAGCAUUUACUCUAAUUCAAACACGUCAUGCCCUACUCACAUAUUUAUGAAACUUUUAAUCUACACAUCCUUGUAAAUUCCAAAACGAUCUUCAACUGAAUUAUGUUAAAGUGCUUUUAUUUUCUGUUUACAACCCAGAUAAUAAUCUUCAAUGAAAAUAAUAACAAUCCUAAUAAUAACGUUAUUCUUUUCAAAUAUGCUCAUUUUUCUCUCCAAUUUUUAAGCUUUUGUAAAGUUUUUCAAUUUCUUAACGAUCUGCUCAAUUAAAUCCACAUCCAAAUUAAGUUUUAUCUUAUUCUGUCAAUAAUAUUAUUCUUUACCCUCAAGCCAUUUACCCCCACCUCACCUUCCCCCCAAAAGAAAAAUAUAAGAAAUAAAAAAAAUAAGACUAUUUUUUCUCAUUUUUGCCUUUUUUUUAUUUGAAUAUUAUAUACAAUACAAUCAAUUCCAACAUAUUAUAAAUGUAUUAUCAAAGUGUAAUAUUUCAAAACCCGAAUCUAAAGUAUACAAUUGAAGCUCACUGAAGCCCUUCAUAAAAAUUCACUAUCACAGUCAUCGAAAAGAUUCAAACCCUUCACCUUAGAAUUAAGGAGAGAAAGUGCCAACCAACUUAACCAAAAGCAUAAUAGAAUCGUCUUAGUAUAGUUCUGACAUAAAUCAUCAUAAUUUUUAUGAUAUAUUAAAGUUUUUAUUAAGCGUUUAAGAUAGGAUAAUAAUAUAUUCUACGUGUAUUAGAUUUAGGGAUGACAAAAAUCCCCACGGGGACGGGCACCUUUGGGGAUUUUUGCCGUUCGGGGAGGGUAUGGGGAUAAUUUCGUACCCAAUUUCUUAUUCGAGGAAGGGACAGGAAAAUUUUUUUACCCAAUUUCUUAUUCGGGGAGGGGACGGGGAUGAGGUGGAAUCCCCAUCCCCUACCCAUUUUCCCAUUUUAAUUUUUAAUUUAAUUUUUAUUUUUUUAAAUUACUAGUAAAUAAAUAAUAAAAUUUGAAUUAUAAAAUUAUAAGUAUUGGUAAAAAUUAAAAAUAUCAAAAUAUUUAUAUUAUUAAACUUUUAGGCCUAAUUAACUAAUUAAAGUCCUAAAUUUUUAUUUAGGACAAAAAUACCGGACAUAUUCUAUUAGCCCAAAACUUUUGUUUUAAUUUUAAUAUUCAUUAAAUAUUUUAAACUUAAAUCUAUUUUUUAUUUAUCUUAAGUCUAUUUAUUUAUUUAUUUUUAGAUGUUAUAAUUGCCCACAACAUAUCACAAUUUUAAUAUCUAAUCUAAUAUAAUAUUUGCUCUUGAUUUACUUCGACUUAACUAUUGUGCUGUAAAGGGAAUAGUUCACAUUUAUAAAGUGUCCACGCCACCAUUGAAAAGUUAAUUUUGAAUCUAAAUUUGAUUUUAUUUGUAACAAUUUUGUAUUAGGCUAUUAAUUUGUUCAUGAUAGUUUGUAUCCCUUGCAUGCUGCGUUACUUACUAAUUUAAUGUAUGUGAUUUUUGUAAUGGAUAUUAAUGUAAGAUAUAUUUCGAACUUUAUUUUUAUUUGAAUUUUUUAUUUUAAUAUGAUUAACUCAAAAUCGAAAAAAAAAAUGUAUUAAUUAUUCGGGGAUCGAUGACCCUCGGGAUCCCCUGUUAUUAUUCAGGGAGGGAAUGAAGAUUCUCUUAAAUAAUUUUGAAGGGGAUGGGGAGGGCACGGAAACAUACGCAAAAUAUCGGGGGUGGGUACUGGGAGAUUGGUCCUCUCCUCUCCCCUCCCCAUUGCCAUCCCUAAUUAGAUUAAUGGUUGUGUUAGACGAGUGUCAAGAAUUAAUAAUGAUAAGUUUUUAAUUGUUAAAUUGUCCUCAAUGACGAACAUAUAAAUACUGUCCUAUUAAUAAUUCUUUUUUUGAAGUUUUGAGGUAAUCGAAAUUAAAUAUAUAUUAUUGUGAUUUUUAAACAAAGUUCAAGGGUUUUAAAACAGAUAGAUUAAUACUUUCCCUUUUUACCUAAAUGCUCUAGUUACGACGUAAAUCAAUUAUUAAUUUAUCAUGCUCAUGAGAGUCAAAAUGCAGGAAUUCAGUUGGUUUAACGACUGUAAUAGCGUUCAAAAGUUAAGGGGGGAAGAAAAAGGACUGUGAUAGGCUGAUCAAUGUUUGGUAAAAGAAUCUAUUUAAAGGAAAAUAGAUUUCAAAAAUUUAAGAAUUGAUUUCAAAGAAGCAAACUAAGGCACGACAUGUGAUUGAGCUUGAGCGAACCAGUGGUGGAAAGAUAAUGAAUCAACUUGCAGCAUUCAGAAAAAUUAAAAUAUAAUUUUUUUAAAAAAAGGAAAAAAACGAAAACGUACCAAAUGCAUCAAAAUGACAAAACCUUGAAGCAAGCAAUUCCAAAAAAAGAUGAAAAGUUGAACCUCAAAAUCCAACAACGUGUGAAAGCUUUUUUACUUGUUAGGAUUAUCAAACACCAAAAGCCGAAACUGUCACUAUCUUAUUGACACUACGUACUGAGGAGGAAAAAAAGUGGUAAAAAGAAAUAAAAUCUUUGUAUUAUCGCAGUGAAAAUUCAUGAAUCUCCGUGACAGUCAAUACUAUUAACACUGUCUGGUGUCUUCAGACUUCACAAGUGUCCAAAAUACAUAUUUGGCUGCAAAUGCUGCUGCAGCUGCUUCUUGUUCUUCAUCAAAACUCAAAAAGAGACGCGAAUUAUUAAGCUAAACAACAAUAAUACAUACAGAGAUUCUUGCAAUACAAAGAAGCUGGCUACUGGCUAGCAUUGUGUAACACGAGAGCACUGUAAAAGGAAAAUAAUUCUCAGCGGCUAUACACAGCAUGAUCGUUCUUUUUUUUUUUACUUUCUUUCUUUCUUUCUAGCAUUUCAAAAGAUUGAGGUACCAAAAUACCCUCGUUUUUCCCCCUAAUAUUACGACGCAGAUCAAAAUAAUAUCGCGGAAAUGAAGAGAAAAACGUGGGUAUUUUGGAAAUAACAUCAACCAAUAACUCAAAACAUAAAGAAAAGAAAAGAAAAGAAAAAGAGAGAUAUGUGAAUAAUAAUAAUUCUACUAACUAGCUAGUUGUGGAGGGGAUCUGGGCAACUGGGAACUCUUCGUUUAUCAUCGGCAAUUCCUUUUUCAGUUCUGCUGAAGUUAAAAGCGCUUCCACCGAAGUACUUACGAACUAAAUCUCCUUCUUUGUAGCUCUUGUUAUUUUUUGUGACCAUUUGUUGCUUCUCCACUUCAUUUGGUGUAGAAAAUAUCCUAAUAGCACCUACCUGACAGUCACGGCAGACCCAAAUCUGUAAAACGAGCAUGAUUAUCAUCAACAUAGCAGCCACCAUGGAAAAAGAUGAAGAUGAAGAAGAGUAGACGAUUCGCUUGCCACCGGCAGAUGACGACGACAUGUCGCUAGCUGAGGCACUUUAUAAACCACCCACAUAAAAGCAAAAGCGCGAAACACCCACUCUCCCUCGCUCACUAACUUCUCUUUGCACUCAAUCUCUUGUUGUUUUGAGAAGAAGAAAUUGUGCUGACAAAAAUGAGGCUUUUAAUUUUGAGAAUUUUUCUAGGGACAAAAAGUUCCUGAUGACCUAAUGUGUAUGCGAGGAUGAGGAAUGGAAAAUUAAAGAAUAAGUGAUGGCUAGUUUGGGUU
rnacentral:lncRNA from 1 species